UAUACAACUCACGAACCUCAACAAGGUAAAUAGCGUCGGCCGUGUUCUUUAUGCCAUGCCGGUGCGCAUUUGGAGCAGUGCCACCGGCAAUGUCGCCAGCUUCCUCACCUCCUUCUCUUUCGAGAUGAAGGAUAUCAAAGAUUAUGAUCCUGCCGACGGUAUCAUCUUUUUCAUUGCACCGGAAGAUACGCAGAUUCCUGCCGGCAGUAUUGGUGGUGGAACCUUAGGCGUCUCUGACACUAAAGGGGCGGGUCACUUUGUUGGAGUGGAGUUUGAUACCUAUUCCAACAGUGAGUACAACGAUCCACCCACUGAUCACGUUGGAAUUGAUGUAAAUAGCGUGGAUUCGGUGAAGACCGUGCCAUGGAAUAGUGUGAGUGGAGCAGUGGUGAAAGUGACUGUGAUAUAUGACUCUUCAACAAAGACAUUGAGUGUUGCUGUGACCAACGACAAUGGCGAUAUUACCACCAUUGCUCAAGUUGUUGAUUUGAAGGCGAAGCUUCCGGAGAGGGUCAAGUUCGGUUUUUCUGCCUCCGGCUCCCUUGGCGGUCGUCAGAUACAUCUCAUCCGUUCAUGGUCUUUCACUUCAACCUUGAUAACAACAACCAGAAGAAGCAUCGACAAUAACGAAAAGAAAAUAAUGAAUAUGGCAAGUGCAUGAUUUGGUUUCUACGUACGCUACCUAGUACUUUUAAAGAAAGACCAGACCUUUGUGUGUUAUCAACUUUGUUUCUUUGUGUUUAAAUUAGGUUGUAUGGUUCAAUAUUUCCACUAAUCAUGGUCUGACGGUUGACCGUUUAAAUAAAAUAACAGGUCCAGUUUGGUAUAGUUUUUGUGCAUGGAUUUGGGUGUGAGAUUUUCUGUUGAAUCUCAUUCAUCCUUUCACCAGGCCAAUUAUAUUAUGCCCAGAUUCAAUAAUAAAGUCUGAAAUAUGAAUUUAAUAAUUAUCAUGAGUAAAAAUUUUUAAUUUUAAUAAUAAUGACAUAAUAAAUAUAUUAAAAAUUUAAANNNNNNNNNNNNNNNNNNNNNCAAAAGAGGAGUGCUAGGAGCUGUAACACCCUACUACACAGAGUUUUACGCUUAAGUCGUAGAACUAGAGGUAGUGUGGUGUUAUAGACCUCUGAACAGUAAAAUAAAUACUUAAUAGAGAAGAUGAUAAUAUACUAGGAGUCUUGAAACAAAAUGGGUAAGCAAAAAUCGUAAAAUGAAAAGCGCAGCGCUCAACGGAAAGAAUUACUUGCGUGCUAAGAAACCUAAUAGAAACAAGAUAGAGAUAAGCAAAAGAAUAAAGAAAAGCCAAGGAAACAGCAUAACUAGCCCCUGACUCAGCCUGCGAAACUAAGAUAUAUAUAUAUAAGUAUCCCCAAAAUAUACCAAAAUACCAAGUACCUUCCUAUCUCUCCCUCAACCUCUAAGAGGAGCAGCAUACACAUGUUACUUGGAGAGUAAGCUAGAUACAUAUGUACAUAUAUACAAAUAGAAAACCAAAAUACACCCAAUGGACUACUUCACUUCCCAAGAUCCAGACGCCUAGUGAGGAACCUCUCGACCUGCAUCUGAAAAACAACAAUACAAUAUGGAAUGAGAACCGGAGGUUCUCAGCAUGGUAAAAGUGCCACACGUAUAAUAAAUAAGGUCCUGAGAAUGCCAUAGGCAAUCCUAGAACUCCGUUAUUCAGUUAUCCAACUUAAGUACUAAACAGAAGCCAUAAACACGGGGUAUGUAUUCUAAAUCUACCUAACUUACUCAAGUUCAAUCUUAACCUAAUAUCAAACCAUUUCCCCGUUUUCUCCAUCUCUCCAUCAUUCAUAAUGCAACAGAAACAAGCAGCCAAAUGAGUUCACGCACAAGUAAUGAGCAGAUAGUACAAAUAGCAAGUAUAACAGAUAGCAGGUGAUAUAUAUAUAUAUCAAUUAGGCAAACCCAGGAAAUGCAUAGCAAUCAAACAAACAAAUGCAUAUGAUGCAUGCCUGUUGCCCAUCUGUCGGUUAUCCAGCCAACCCAACAAGUCCAAAAAUCUUAGACUGUCCCCCGUCGCGUAUCCCCAAGAGUCUAUGCAUAGAGUUCACAUUCAAUCAUCAUAUAAUCACUCAAUGGGGCUAUCUAUACUCGGAAAUUUAUACGUACCCGGUCACCCUUACGACGUAGGGUCAAUAGAGUAUCGAGAUUCAACCUGGAACACGUGGUGGCGAGCCACGGUCUUUACCCAGGAAAACUCGUAUCUCAGAUAUCAUUAUUCAUAAGCCAUUUCAUAAUCAUAUUCAUUAUUUAAUCAUUCAUCAAAGCCAUUGCAUAUUAACUUCAUCUAUUAACACUUCCUUUUCACACUCCUCUUCCUAUUUACCCUUUUCUUCACUCUCAAGUUAUCUUAAACUCCUACUUCUGCUAUUUACUAAAUUUACUAGUAGGAUCUAGGAUUAACAGGGCAUAAAUAGGGGUUUUAGAGUUUAAAACCAUGUUUAGAACAGAAAAAUAAAGGUACUAAAAAACAAGGCGUGUGCGCACGCACACACCUGUGCGUGCGCACAGCUCAAAAAAGAAAGCAGGACGUGUGCGUACGCACUUAUGCGUGCAUGCGCACAUAUCACUUGGUGUGCGAGCGCCCCACCUGUGCUGGUGCCACCGAUAGAAAACUCGCCCUGGCGUGUGCGUGCGCACAAGAGUGUGCAUACGAACACUUUAUGAAAAAUACCAAGUGUGCGGGCGCACAGAGGCGUGCAUACGCAUAGGUAGAUUUUCGCUUCUAUUGGGUGCGCGCGCACAGCUGUGUGCGUGGGCACACAUCAGGAAACCUGGUUCUGCUGCAACCUUUAAAAUUUCAGUUUUUCGCACCAAUUUUUCGGCAUCCAUAACUUCCUCUAUAAAAUUCGGUUUUCCGUAAGCUUUAUAUCAAUUUCAAGCUUAUAAAACACUCUUUAAUUUAAAAUAAACCUCAUGAUUAUUCAAAAUGUGUAGAGCAAGAUAUGGACUACCAAAGUUCAUCAAAAUUUACAUUUUAUCAAAAAUACCUUAAACCCCAUUUUUCACCAAUUCUCAUUCUCUACUCCCAAAACCUGCAAGUUUACAGCACCACAAGUCUUAUUCCAUCAUCAUCAACCACUAGCUCAUUAAUGUCCACAACAUUCCAUAACAUCCACCCAAUAAUCCCAAUAUAUCAACAUAUAUCACAACCCAUUAUAAGCAAGUCCAAAAGUAUGAAAUUAAUAACCUCAUAAUUCCAAUUUAAGCUCAUCAACAAUUUAUUCCAACAACAUUACAAACUACUCAUUAAGUAUAAUUAACAAUUCAACUUAUCUUAUGGUUCCUCUAACCUAAGUUUUCACAACACCGUAAAUAUUAAACGUGCGAAACUUAAACCAUACCUUGGCCGAUCACUUAGUUCACCCAAGGCAGCCUCACAACACAAAAUUACAGCCUCUCCAAGCUUAAUUAAACAGCCCCAAACCAAGCUUUGAUCAUCAACAAGCCUCUAAUUACUUCCAAUUCAAUUUCAAUACUUAUAUACCCACUUAAUCUACACCUAAUACAUAUACAUGUUCAAAUUUCAGUUUUCCAUUACAAAUACAAGAUUGAGCUAGGGUUAGUUUGUUCUUACCAUACCCAUAUGCUCAAUAGCUUGAGCUCACAAGUCCCGGAAGCUAACUUGAACCUAGAAUACAAAAAUUGGACAAGAUUUCACUAUAGGUUUUCAAUUUUACCAAAGAAAGAGGGAUAGAGAUUCUGAACCAAAUAUGAGACUUACUAGUGAAAUUGUUCGGAUAGAAAGGUAGAGCUCGACGCGCUAGACGCGUGACUGCAAAAGGUGCGGCGAUCGGAGCUCAAACGAGGGAGAUACGGUGGUUUGAAGGUUGGAUGAAGGUUAGGGUUCUUCUCCUCUCCCCCUUUCUGUUUGCUUCGUUGGUUGCAAAUGAAAGAGAAGAAGCGGCCGCUUCUUUUAUAUUAUGGGUCCGAUUAGACCCACGGGCCCGGUUUGGGCCCGGUUCAACCGGUUAGACCCUUUCGGUCCGAUUUUGGGCCAAAUUUUUUAAAUUGGUAUCAAAAUUCUUGUUUCGACGAGUUCUAUCCUAUUUUGAUAUUAGUUUUGCAUUCUUAGCUUUCCUAAUUAAAAUUCGAUUUAUUGACUAAUUAUCCGCUAAUUUCACGAGGUUUACAGGGGCCAGCAACUUUUGUGUUUUGUAACCAUCAAUUGGCCAUCAAUAGUAUUUUUAAUGGUGUGAGAUUAUAUCUAAUAGUGGGAGAUCACUCAUUUUUCUUUUGAUGGUUAAGUUUUGGUCACAAAACACAAAAAUUUUUGGCCCCUAGACUUUCUCUUUUUGCAAUUAGAUUAAGAAUUGAUGUGAUAAAUUUUUUACUUUUUAAAAAUAGUGAAUUUAUUAAAAUUAAUCACUUAAUUUUUUAAAGUUAUAGUANNNNNNNNNNNNNNNNNNNNNNNNNNNNNNNNNNNNNNNNNNNNNNNNNNNNNNNNNNNNNNNNNNNNNNNNNNNNNNNNNNNNNNNNNNNNNNNNNNNNNNNNAAUGUACAGAAACAAUGGAACAAAUUAAACAUCAUUUUACGUAUACUACAAGAAAAUUUUAAAAUAGUGACCGAUUUUGCGACUAAUCAAAAUGUUUUAGGAAAAGAAAAAGUUGGUCGCUAAAAUUAGUCGCUAAAUUUCAAUUAGCGGCUGAUUUAGUGACUACCUACUCUUGGUCGCUAAAUUCGGUCGCUAUUUUUUAAUUUAGCGACCAAAUUAGCAACCAAAACAAAAAAAAAGGCUUUUCGGGUCUGUUGGUGACUAAAUCGGUCGCUAUAUUUAAUUUAGCGACCGAUUUUGUAACCAAUAUAAAAAAGUCUUAAUAAUUGUUGGUCGCUAAAUCGGUCGCUAAGAAGUUGGUCACUAAAUCGGUUGCUAAGUGUUAAAAUAGCAACUAAUUUAGCGACCAACUUUAAAAUGCUACUUUUAAAGUAGUUGGUCGCUAAAUCGGUUGCUAUUUUAUAAUUUAGCGACCGAAUUAGUAACCGAUAUAAAAAUAGGCUGAGAAAAUAGUUGGUCGCUAAUUCGGUCGCUAAGGUACCGGUCGCUUAAGGGAUAAUAUAGCAACCGAUUUUAGCGACCAACUAUAAAAUAUGGGAUUAGAGCAAUCGGUCACUAAAUCGGUCGCUAUUGUAAUUCUUAGUGACCAAAUUUGCAACCACUAAAAAAUAAGUUAUAAAUUAAUUAGUUGCUAAAUCGGUCACUAUUUUUUUUUUUGUUGACAAAUCAGUGUAUUAAACAAAUUAAAUUUUAAACAACAAUGUUAGGAACCAAGAGCAUAUCAGCCAAAACCCAGCCAAAUGUGUCUGGGCUAGGACCCGAAAGCCCAAUACACAUCAGCACCAUCCAAAAUUGACCCAGGGUAAACCAUAUUCACCCUCCCCAAAAACCCUACCCUUCCUUUCACCGUUUUACCACACAGAAUUUGAAAAUCAUCUACACCCACGUCACGCCUCCGGAAACAUCGCGCAACCCUCUUCCCUCUCUUCUCCGGACACCGCGACGCCGCUCCUAGCGGCUUUGCCCAUCGCGACUCCACCCAAGCUACCUGAGCGCAACCCUCUUCCCUCUCUUCUCUAGACGCUUCGACGCCGCGCCUAGCCUCCCCGCCCAUCACGCCUCCACACUCGGAACCAGAGCGACGCCACUCUGCUGUUGCAUGCGGGUUUUUUCGGCGCCGCCGAAGCUUCCUGGUGUAGCUGCGCCGUCCGCCGGUGGACCUCCCCUAUCUCCAGCCUGGAAUCCUUCAUUCGUCUCACUAAUUGGUAAGUAUGGUAGAUGUUCCCUUUGACUUCCUAUGCAUGUUUUGAAAAGGGAAUUGGACAGUGUUUUGUUGUAGUGGUUCGUGUGAGUUUUAAUUGAAUGGAUGUUCUUUCCAUGUUGUACAGCUCAGGUAACACAAUUUUGGAGCAUCACUGGUCCUUGGCGAAUAUAGCAGCUGCAUGUUUUUCCUAUUUUCGGAGUGUUGCAAAAUAUUGAUCACAAGUAAGUAUGUUUUUUUAUUCCUAAUUGAAUUUGGUAGAUUCUGAUUAAACUCUCUAAAAGGGAAGAUAGGAAAAUAAAAAAGUAAAAGGGCCAGGGUCAUGGUAUGAUGAAGCAAUGUAAUACUAGUGUUGAAAUAAAAAUGGUCCAUAUAUCCUCUUAUAACAUUCUAUUUCUAAAGAGGCAUGAUGCCCAGCAUUCCAAAAAGAAUAAUGAAAGUAUAGCAUUACUUCAAUUAGAAAUCGAAUGUUGUUGAAGUUUUGCUCGGAUGUUGCAAUUGGUAGAGAUUGGAUGUUGCUUUUAUCUGGGUUGGAUAUUGUAAUUGUAGUUGUUAGAGGUUAGAUGUUUCUAUUCUGCUCUAUGGUUUAGAUACUAGGAAUGGUAUUCAUAUGAGAUGUUCUUUGAUAUUGCUAAAUUACUAGACGUUUUUGUUGAAUAAUUUUAGAUAUUUGAGUGUAUGAUUUGUUAAAUUAUUAUAAAUAGAGUAUUUUUUCUUUAAUUCAGAAGUUGAGAAGUUCUUGAAAGUAUGAAAUUUUCUUAUGUUUUUUUCUGAUUUGUCAUAAAAUGGUGAUGUUAUGUUGCAUCAUGUUUCGAUUAUCAAAGGGAGGAAAAAAGAGUUUAUUUCUCUCCAUCUUUCUAUGUUUAUGCUUUGGUUGGGGUUGCAAAUGGGUUUGAUUUUGAAAUUGGCACUGCUGUUUUCUUCUUCACUUGUUUAUUUAUUAUUGGUUUAAUUUUGCUUACUUUUUCAGCCUUUGAAGGCCUUGUUAAUUAUUAGAGAAUAGCCAUAAUUCUAAACACAUCAACUUCAAUUAAGAAUUGAAUAAUCACUGUUCAAGUAGCUAUUUUUUCUUCAUUUAAAUUAAAAAACUAAAUUGUUGACUCCUAAAAUUUGAAGUUGGUACCAUUUGAGACCAUGACACAUAGAUGCUGUAAUAUUUGUAAAUUAUUACAUUGUUGGUUAACUACUUGCUAAACUAAGGUGAUUAAAUGGUAAUUAUAGUGUACAUUCGCUACUUGUUUUGUUUUUUCUCUCUUCUUCUAAGAACAAGAGAUGGUGUGUAAAAUAUUUUAAUAUUCAAUUAGGCCAUCAACCAAAUAAACUAUAUGAUGUUUCUAUUAUAUUUCACAUCCUUUCACCAUCACAAACAAACAAGAUUUGAAUGUAGGGACAUUACAUGUGGCCCUCUUUUUUGGCCUAAAUAGUGGGUCCAUGUUUCUAUGUGAAUUUUAGCCCUUCAACCGUGUGAAUUUUCCAAUUCUUUUAAUGGUAUAAAUCAUCUAUUAAUGUUUGUCUAAACCACUUUUUUUUACUAUAAGCCAUUUACAGUAUGAGGAAAUCAUUUAUUUUUUAUUUUGACUUUGAUUGGUAAUUGAUUUUUGUUGUUUUCUUAAUUGUGUUCCGGAUUUUGGGUGGUGAAAUUAUAAUAAAUGUUGGCUGAUUUGUGUUUCGGAUGGUGAAAUAAUUGUAUUUUGGAUGGUAAAAUUGUUGUUGUUUUUCUAUAUGCAGUUUUGAGGGGCUGUUUCUUGUGAGACCGCAGCAGGAUUGAUUUGUAGUAAAACCCAACUAAUAUGGGGAAAAAGGUAAAAUAAUGUCUACCAUUCACAUUUUAACAUUCGACAUUAUCUUAUGUGUGACUUACAAUUAGUGUAACAAUUACCAGAAAUUGUUAGAGUCCCGGUGCUCGCCCAGCUACGUACAUGACAUGAUGAGCACGCUGUCAAAAAAUAACUCCGUUGAAAAGCUUGCGGAGAUUGAUGAGAUUGGUUUUGGAUUCUUGAGUCUUGUUCCAAAUUGGUCGGUAAAAUCAAGCCAUCAUGGUUCACCUAGCUGAGUCAUAUCAAGUUAAGCCGAGAACUUUUAUACUCGACAUUAGCAACAUCUGCCUCAAUGCCGAGUUAAUCGGGAAGGUUUUCGGCAUUUCAUCGCGAGGUAACUUCUGCUAUCUUAUUUACCUAGUCUUGCAUAGGCGUGCUGGUGUAAAUAUCUUUGCUUAUGCAUACAUAUUAACAUGGAAUAACACAUGAACAUGUUGUAGGGGAUCCAUUUCCAGCACUGGAUGACAGUAAUCCGUGUCACGUUGCCAUAAAAAAUCGGUUCCAUAGACGGACAACAACCGAGCUCUGGGAUUUAGUUUACAGUUGUCCAAUGGCCACAGAAUCAGAUAGGAUGGAGUUCAGAAGAUAUUUCAUAUUGGUGGUGAUGAAGAUGUUCCUGUGCCCCACCACUCAACAGGUACUUUCUCCAUGGCACAUCUACCCCAUGUAAGAUGUUUCUGAUCCACGGAGAUUCAACUAGCCGUUGAAAACUCUGAAGUGGUUCGACAAGGCAGUCGAGAAGUAUAAGCUGAAAGGGAACAAAACGUGUGAAGGCUGCAUGUUCAUCAUGCUGGUAGGACACUGUUCAUGCCCUGGGUCGAGCUGUACAAUCCGGGCUUAUUAAAGACAAGUCGACCGACCUCUUCAAGUAUGGAUUCCCCGACCUCUUCUUAAAGAGAUUGGCCAAAUCGUCAGAGGGGCCCAAACAGACCCAAAUGAAGGGACACAGCCCAAUCUAAAGGCAGUUAAAGCCUAGAAAGAUAAGGGCGGUUCCCCAGAAGAUAAGAUGACCUCACUUAAAAGAUAAGAUAAGAUAACUAUCUUUAUCUCCAGAAAGGUCACACCAUACUACUAUAAAUACACUGGAGCACCCAGGUAUAACUCAUACUCUGAUUCUACAAAAAAAUACCUGCUUAAAGCCCAUGCUAACUUAAGCAUCGGAGUCUCUUGCAGGUACCACCACCCUCCGGUGACGAAGGAUCAGCAGCAUCUCCAGCUCCACCAGUUCCACCAGGUCGGACACGAAAGCUCCGGCCACUAGUUCCAACAAGUCGGACACGACAGCUCCGGCCACCACAGCAGAUCUCGUCUGAGAUCAACCUACAGUUUCAGGUAACCCUCGGAACAUUGGUGCCGUUGCUGGAGAACCUGGCAGUCAUCCCAUCACCAUGGCAGACAACAUAGACAACGAUCACAACUGAUUUAGAAAAUAGGACGCCGCAUAAGAAUGCAGACACCACACCGAAAGACACUUCUCAACCAAACGGAGAUAAGCACCCUCCAAACACAAAAAUUCUAGAAGCUCUCCGAGAACAGCAGAAUCAUCUCAAGCAGCUCGAACAGGAGGCUGAAUACCAGCACGAAACCAAAAGAAACCUCUGAAGAGAAACUUGACGACGCCGAAAGUUAAAGGACAAACUGCUAAAGCUUGAAGCCGACCUUAGAGCCAAAGCCAUUCAGCCUAAUCACGGGGACAGCCCCGACAAGGAUCAAGAUUCCUUCACAAAAGAAAUCAUGAAAGCUAAGGUUCCAAAAGAUUUUAAAGCUCCGACAUGACCCCUUACGACGGAACUUCUGACCCAAGUCAUCAUCACAGCAAUUUCAGAAGCAGAAAGUAUCUCACUGACGCCUCAGACGAUAUUCGUUGCAAAGCCUUCCCGACAACCCUAACAAAGAUUGCUAUUAAGUGGCUCGACAGUCUGCCUCCCAGAUCUAUCACCAGUUUUGAUGACUUAGCCAAGAAGUUUCUUGCUAGAUUUUCCAUUCAAAAGGACAAAGCCAAACACGUCCCAAGCCUAUUAGGAAUCAAACAAGGAGAUCGGGAGAGUCUUCGAUCUUACAUGGAAAGAUUCAACAAAGCGUGCCUGGACAUACAAAGCCUACCAACAGAAGCAUCCAUCAUGGGUCUUAUCAAUGGCCUACGAGAAGGACCCUUUAGUCACUCUAUAUCAAAGACACACCCAACAUCUUUAAAUGAAGUGCAAGAACGGGCAGAGAAGUAUAUCAACAUGGAAGAAAAUUCUCAGUUAGGAGAGACCACAAAAUUUGGAUUCUCCUACUCCUCCCGGGAUAAGGAUAAAGAGUCCAAGAAAAAAGAAGAUCAACACAGAGAGAAGCCUAAAAAAUACCACAAUUACACCCCUCUUCGGGUGUCUCUUGUGGAUGUUUUUCGAGAAGUAUGCCACACUGAGAAGAUUCAACCACCUCGUCCAAUCAAAAGCAAAAAAAAAGAGGGGGAAAUCAGACAAAAUACUGUGAGUACCACCGAAUCUAUGGACAUCUUACAAAUGAGUGCUUCAACUUGAAGAAUGUCAUAGAAAAAUUGGUAAGAGAGGGGCGACUAGAUCGAUACUUAGCUAACAAAACAGAUGAACCCAGAAAAAGAAGAAGGGACGAAGAGGUCGGACGAGCUGAACUACCACCCCGCACCCCGGAGAGGCACGUUCACAUGAUAAAUGGAAGAUUCGCAGGAGGAGGGAUCUCUAAAUCAUCUCGCAAAAGGCACUUUAAAGAAGUAUAUCACGUUGGAGGAGGAGAAGGAUGAUCCCAUGGUCAUUACUAUCAUAUUGGCCAAUGCCAACCUCCACCGCACACUGGUGGACCAAAGAAGGUCAGCUAAUAUCUUGUUUAAAUCUGCCUUCGACAAACUCGGCCUACAAGAAAAAGAGCUCAGAGCAUACCCGAACAGCUUGUUUGGAUUAGGAGACACUCCAAUCCAACCCCUUGGAUAUAUCUCACUACACACAAUCUUUGGAAAGGGAACCCGAUCAAGGACACUCAACAUAGACUACAUCGUAGUCGACGUGAGCUCAGCCUACAAUGCCCUUAUAGGUCGAACAACGCUAAAUCAGCUUGCCGCAGUAGUUUUGACUCCACAUCUAUGCAUGAAGUUUCCAACCCUAGAAGGGAUCGCCACGAUAAAAGGAGACCAGAAAAUUGCGCGACGUUGUUACAACGAAAGUCUAAACCUUAGAGGCAAGGGAGAAGAAAUCAACAGUAUCGAACUCGGAGGAGUUCGAGGUCAGGAAGAACUUCGUCCACAACCUGAGGGCGAGAUCAAGGAAGUCCAGAUCGGAGAUAUCCUAGAUAAAACAACAAAUAUUGGGGCCACUUUGGAAGGAGACAUAAAGGAGUCUCUGAUACAGUUCCUCAGAGAUAAUGCCGACCUCUUUGCAUGGAAGGCCGCGGACAUGCCAGGCAUAGAUCUCAAACUAAUGUACCACAAACUGGCAGUAUAUCCAGGAUCUCGGCCAGUACAACAGAAGCGUCAGAAGCUCGGACCAGAAAGAUCCCAAGCUGUGAAAGAUCAGGUACAAGCUCUACUGGAGGCAGGAUUCAUAAGAGAAGUCAAGUACCCACUAUGGCUAGCCAACGUUGUAUUGGUGAAAAAGUCAAAUGGGAAAUGGCGGAUGUGCACUGAUUACACCGACCUCAAUAAAGCCUGUCCAAAAGAUCCCUAUCCACUCCCAAGCAUAGACACUCUAGUGGAUGCCUCCUCCGGAUAUAAGUACCUUUCCUUCAUGGAUGCUUAUUCGGGAUAUAAUCAAAUCCCAAUGUACCCACCUGAUCAAGAAAAGACCUCAUUCCUAACCCCAAAAGCAAAUUACUGUUAUGUCGUCAUGCCAUUCGGACUCAAAAACGCAGGAGCUACAUACCAAAGAUUAAUGAAUAAGGUUUUCACAGACCAUAUCGGGAAACUCAUGGAGGUAUAUGUGGAUGACAUGUUGGUAAAAGUAUAAACUGAGGAAUCAUUACUGUCCGACCUCGCCAAAGUGUUCGACACCAUCAGAAAGCAUGGCAUGCGACUUAAUCCCGCAAAGUGUACCUUUGCAGUAGAAGCCGGUAAAUUCCUGGGUUUCAUGCUAACACAACGAGGACUUGAGGCGAACCCGGAUAAAUGCCGAGCUAUACUCAACAUGAAAAGUCCGACCUACGUCAAAGAAGUACAACAACUCAACGGAAGACUGGCAUCCUUAUCCAGAUUUCUAGCCGGAUCGACCAUAAGAUCUCUCCCCUUUUACGCCACUCUAAGGAAGGGAAAGAAGUUCGAAUGGACAACGGAGUGCGACCAAGCCGGAAAGAGGUUUGAAUGGACCACAGAGUGCGAGCAAGCCUUCCAGGAUUUCAAAAAGUUUCUGAGACAACCACCCAUUCUUACUCGGCCACGGGAAGGAGAAGCACUCAUAUUAUACCUCGCAGUGGGAAGUCGGGCAAUAGCCUCGGCACUAGUCAGAGAAGAUGAAAGUGGGCAACAACCCAUCUACUUCAUCAGCAAAGCCCUACAAGGGGCCAAAUUGAACAAUCAAAAGAUAGAAAAGUUCGUCUACGCUCUCAUACUAACUUCUCGAUGACUUUGUCCAUAUUUUGAAGCUCACACCAUUAGGGUUCAAACCAACCAGCCCAUAAAAGGCAUUCUACAGAAAACAGACUUAGCGGGAAGGAUUCUACGAUGGGCAGUCAAGCUAUCUGAGUUCGAUCUUCAAUAUGAAGCUCGGACGGCCGUCAAGUCACAGUUUUUGGCCGAUUUUAUUGGUGAGUAUACUGACACCCCGGGAACUCCUACAAAAUGGGAUCUCUAUGUAGACGGCUCUUCAAACAAAACUGGGAGUGGUGCAGGUGUGAUAAUAGAAAGUGACCAGGGAACCCAAAUUGAACUCUCCCUAAAAUUCGAGUUCCCUGCUUCAAAAAACCAGGCUGAAUACGAGGCAUUACUAGCUGGUUUGAGACUGGCUAAGGAAGUUGGAGUUCAAAAGCUUAUCAUCUUCAGCGAUUCGCAAGUAGUCAUUUCACAAAUAGCAGGGAGCUACCAAGCUAAGGAUCCUACCAUGAAAAAGUACCUGGAUAAAACUAGGGAACAACUCAAACAACUCGGGGAAUAUGAGGUCUGCCAUAUUCCCGGGGAACAGAACGCUCGAGCUGAUGCACUCUCAAAAUUAGCCAUCACCAAACAAGGGGCAAUAAUAGAAGCCUCAUCCAGGAAAUACUGAAAAGCCCAUCAAUCUCGGAGGAAGAAAAGGUCCUAGCCAUAUCAGAUCAGGAUCAAGGAUGGAUGACCCCCAUAAUCAAUUACCUCAAAUCAGAGACACUCCCUACAGAUAAGAAGGAAGCGAAGAGGUUGAGACGGGAAGCACAAUACUACACCAUCAUAAAUAACACCCUAUACAAAAUGGGGAUUUCGACACCCCUAUUAAGAUGUGUGCCGACCUCUAAUACAAAGGAGGUUUUGGAAGAAAUACAUAACGACAUAUGUGGCAAUCAUCUGGGGGCACGAGCUCUCUCCAAAAAGGUACUCCGGGCAGGAUUCUUUUGGCCGACUCUGCAAAAAGAAGCAAUCGAGUUCAUUAAGACAUGCCCACCAUGUCAAAAGCAUGCUAACUUCCACAUCGCCCCACCAGGGGAGCUCAUCAGCGUAACAUCACCUUGGCCAUUCACAAAAUGGGGACUCGACCUCCUCGGAACCUUUCUCCAAGGAUCGGGACAAGUCAAGUUCCUCAUUGUAGGAGUAGAUUACUUCACAAAAUGGAUUGAGGCAGAGCCCCUAGCUAAUGUCACUACUCAAAGAAGUCAGAAAUUCUUAUACAGGAACAUUGUUACAAGGUUUGGGGUUCCUUACUCCAUCACUACAGACAAUGGAACUCAAUUCACAGACAUAGGCUUCAGGAAGUUGGUAGCAGACUUAAAAAUAAAGCACCAAUUCACAUCCGUAGAACAUCCACAAGCUAAUGGACAAGCAGAAGCAGCUAACAAAGUCAUAUUGGCUGGGUUAAAACGGAGAUUAUAUGACACAAAGGGAGCCUGGGAUGAAGAGCUCCCACAACUCCUACGGGCAUAUCGGACAACUCCACACUCCACCACAAAGGAAUCACCCUUCCGAUUGGCUUACGGAAUGGAGGCAAUGAUCCCGGUAGAAAUUGAAGAAGGAUCCCCCAGAAUGAUCUACUACAAUGAAGAGGCCAACUCCCAAAAUCAAAGGAAAGAGCUUGACCUACGUCCAGAAAUCCGAGAAAGAGCUCGGAUUAGGGAAGAGGCGUUGAAACGUCGAAUGGCCUCAAGAUACAAUCGAAGAGUCAUCCAGCAAAGUUUCGCCCACAACGAUCUCAUUUUAAGCCGAAAUGACAUCGGAACAGGUCAACCAGGAGAAGGAAAGCUUGCAGCUAAUUGGAAAGGACCCUACCGAGUUACCGAGGUACUGGGAAAAGGCUACUAUAAGGUUUCCAAACUCGAAGGGCGAGAGCUACCAAGGUCGUGGCAUGCCUGCAACCUAAGAAGGUAUUAUAGUUAGGAGGUAAUAAAGAUCUUAGGUCAAGGUGCACUCUUUUUCCUGAAAAGGUUUUUUAACGAGGCACCAAGCCAAGAUCUGUAAAAUUGCCUGACUUAGAGGGGGUAAACACCCACAUGUAUAUAUUCUUGCCUAUAUGCCUAUUUUUUAUUUGAAUAAAAUUUUCCAGAUUUUCUACAAAGUUUCUCUACCAAGACGCAUUAAUCCGAAGGCAAAAAAUUCAUCGCCCGAUUACAAAGCUACAGGUCAGCAAGGUGAAAACCAAAUUCACCAGCCGAUCACGAUGAGAAUCGAAUUCAUCGUCCGAUUUCGACAAAGGUCAGCAAGGUGAAAACCAAAUUCACUGCUAGACUUCGACAAAGUUGGCCAAGUGAGAACCAAACUCACCGCCCGAUUUCUACAAAAUCGGCAAGAAAAAAGCGAUAAAGACGGAUUAAUGCAAGAAGUUAUAGAAAGUAAUCCAUAGAAAGAGGCCUGACGAGGUCUGAGUAAAAAUGGAUUGCUAAAAAUAACUUAGGACGAACCGACAUAAAGAAGUUGGACCAAUCGACCAAAGUGACUAAAGUUAUAAAAAGUAAUCCAUAGAAAGAGGCCUGACGAGGUCUGAGAAAAAAUAGAUUGCUAAAAAUAACUCAAGAAGGACCGACAAGAAGAAGUCGGACCGGACCGAUCAAAGCGAUAAAAGUUAUAAAAAGUAAUCCAUAGAAAGAGACCUGACGAGGUUUGAGUAAAAAUGGAUUACUGAAAAUAACUAAGGGCGGACCGGCGUGAAGAAGUCAGACCAACCAAACAAAGCUACAAAGUUAUAAAAAGUAAUCCAUAGAAAGAGACCUGGUAAGGUCUGAUUAAAAAUGGGUUACUAAAAAUAACUCGAGAAAGAUCGAUAAGAAGAAGUCGGACCAACAAGAGGCGUGCGCUAGAAGGGACACAACUCAUCCCAAAAAGCCACGACCUCACGAUAAAGCUACCAAAAUUAUUUUAAAAGGUGUUCUAUGAGAAUACUAAAAAAGUCAUUAGACAAGUCAUCAGAUCGACAAGAAAGAGGUCGGAUAGCCGAAUCUCGACACCUUACAGAAGAUCUACAAAAAUCCCAAAAACACAGCCAGCACGUCAAAGAAAACAAGGCUAUUCUAAAAGCAUUAAAAUCUCAAAAGGCCACCUGAAGGUCGACCUCAAGAGUUCAAAGAUAUCUUUUGUUUUUCCAAAAUAAAGUUGCUAAGAAAAGCAACCAAAAUGUCAGAAAAAGAAAGAACACCAUGCAAAGGUACAAAAAAUAAAAGAGUUCAAAAGCCCACAAACCGGGCUAAACAAAUACAUAAAAAGUCACAAGGGAUCCAAGGUCUCCUCAGCGGCGGCACCCUGGGUCGUUGAGGGAGGAAUGAUCUUCAUAGGAAUAGCAUCUACCGUCCCAUCCUCCCGAUUUAAGAUUUGGACGUCAGGGUCGGACUCGGGGUGGCUGACCUCAGCAGCAGCAGUUGAAGAAGUCGUGGCAGUAGAAGCUUUGAUCGGCGGCUCUGGGGAAGGACCUUCCUCUUCAUCUUCAUCCGGCGCAGGGACAAUCUUACCAUUUUUAACAGUGUUAUCCAAACCAAAAAGACUCAGGUCGAGCUCGGGAGCAAGAACUCGGACCUGAGCUUUUAGGUUCUCAUAUGUGUCAGUCACACUGCCCACAAGGUGGCCCUGAAGUUCAACAUAGUUAGCAUGGGCCGACACAAGUCUCUCCCUGACCUCCAUCAGCUCGUCAUAAGUGCGGGUAUAACUCUCCUUUGACUUCUUGGCCAUCUCCUUAUCUAGAUUCGCAGCAGCUUCUGCAGUAAUCGCCCUAGAUUUCUCCUUCUCAACAUCUAGUUCCAGCUUGGCCACCUUAGCGUCCAGUUCAUCCUUCAAAUCCUUAAUCCUAUCAAACUCGGACUUGGCAUCCUUCAUAAAGGCUUUAGUAGCAUGAACAGAAGACUCUUGAACAGUACGGAAUAAGGCUGCACCCAUGUGAGCCAUCCGAACACUGUUACUGGUGAUAAAAUCCAGAUGGCGCAGGAUAGACACAUCGUCCAUGGGAAGUCGGCCAUAAGGAGCGAUCUGGUUAUCAACAAACCCCACGGCAUCAAAGUCAGGGGCAUCCAGGUCGUAGGGCUCAAUAGUCUUCUGCUUCUUGGGAGGAGGACCGGCAGCAGAAGGAGAAGCAGCACCAGAGGUCGACUGGGGAGGAUCAGAAGAAGCCAGGCGAACCUGGGGAGUCGGUAUGACUUUUCUCGACCCAGAAGUAUCCGAGGUUGACCUCUUCUGAGUAGCCUUUGAAGAUUCCUCCCUAAAACCUUUAGCCGAGAUGUUUUGAGCCGCGGUCGCCUUCCUCGCCCUCUUAAAAGCCUUCAUGGAAUCAGUGGUCUUCACCAUCUCUAAAAAAAUAAAGCAGCAAAACCAAAGUUGCAAGUUAGAAAGAGAUGGAUUGACAAAACAAACAAAAUAACAAAGACAAGGCUAAAAAGAAAUCGGCAGCUACCCAAUUCAGCUCGAAGAAGGGAGGGAUCCCCCAAAAACAUCUUCGUAUCAAGAUAGGGAGGCUCCCCCCAAUUUUCUUCUAGUACAUGUACAAAAGCCUGCUCAACUUCAUCCAACAUUUCCCAAAAAUACUUAGACACCAUCACAUUCUUUUGCCAGCAUAAAGGAAAAGCUGGUUCAUUAUUUUGGUCCAAGAAGAAAGACCGACCUCCUUCAACAGCUCGAACCUUGAAAUAGAAGUUUUUAAAGUCCCUAAAAGACUCAUCAUACAUGGAUAACAAGUUUUUUCCCUGGGUAGCGCGGAAAGAAAUCCAGAAAGCCUUCUUCUUAGCUACCCCAGGCUUCAUCAAGACAAAAAGGUAAAGAAAGAGAGUAUGAGAAGGUUGAACAUCCAGUUCUUGACACAACAGUUAGAAGAUUUUUAUGAAGCCCCACGAAUUCGGGUGAAGCUGAGAAGGAGCUACAUUGCAGGACCACAACAAGUCAGUUUCAAAGGAAGUAAAAGGAAUGGUAAUGUUCAUUUGACUAAAAAAGUAGUCAUACGCAUAAAAGAAUGGACGGUCCCCUUGAGUAAGAGAAGGAAAACAAACCCUCUCAUCAGGAUCGGGCACUACCAACUCAUAGUUUUUCUCCUGCUCUCUACUACUACAAAUCCUAUGAUGCCUCCUAAGCCGCACACAAUACUCAGAAUCAACCACGGAAACACACAUCAAAACAAGGGAGUCCAGCCAGUCAGACAUGCCAUCCGGGACCUUGGUAGACAUCUCAACAAUAUUUUUGCAAGAAGACAUGGGUCAACUAGUCCUACAGUGAGAAAAGGGAAAACUGGGUUACUAAUCAAACAGCUCGGACAAAAUAGGAAACAUCUCGGACAAAUAUGGAGAUAACUCGAACAAAUAGCAUGCGAAUGUUAAAAGACUCAGAAACAGCAAAAGGAAACCCCAGGACUCACACCAAAGUCCAGGGGCAUCCUUUGGAGGCAAUAACAAAGCAAGGAUCCAGAAAAAAGAAAAAUCUCGCAGUUUAAGCCCUAAAAACACAAAGAAGAUCAAAAGCCUUCUCUGACAAAUGGCGAUCCAUACAAAACAGCAAACCAUCAACAUCAGACAGACCAGGCAGAAAUCAUAAAAAAGAUACAACCUUUUUCAAAUUAACAGUUCAUUACUUCAAGCUAUAAACAGGAAAAGAUCUACGCAUAAAGAAAUCAAGUAAAAGGGGCAGAAACAAGCAACAAAGCGAAAAAACCCUCAAGGCGCGCACUACAAGCACAACGACACAGAAAAGAUUCAAACUUUCUAAACACAAAUCCGAGCAAGAUCAAAACUUUUUCAUGCCCAAACAAAGCACAAGCAUAAAAAGAACGGUGUGAAAAAUAAAAGAGGGAAAGAAGAUUAAAAACCAACCUGCAGUGGAGAGGAGAUGAUAAAUGAUCAGAGACUGAAGCAACGACCAAAAUGACGCCAACGAUCGCCUUUGCAAGUGAGGAAAAUACGAAGGCCCAGAAACAGAAGGGUAAGGAGAAGGGAGAAGUUACAGUAAAGCGAAGAGAAGAAAAACUGAGGGAAAAGGCUUUGAAAUUCAAAAUAAAGACACAAAGAGGGAAGCAAAGGAAACAGCAAAGAAUUUACGAGUUUUUGACCUUUGCACGUUUCCAAGAAAAAGUAAAAAUGCGUGCCGUAAUUAAAAGAGGAAACGUUCCGCAUUCAAACCACUAAAUAGGAGUGCUACAACGAGAUCAACAAAAGAAUGCUCGAGAUCGGCUUUUCCAAAAAGAAAUCGAAGUCUAAAAAGACACGACUUCAAAAGGAAGACCGCACUCAAGCAGGGGCACUGUUUAUGCCCUGUGUCGAGCUGUACGACCUGAGCUGAUUAAAGACAAGUCGACCGAUCUCUUCAGGUCUGGAUUCCCCGACCUCUUCUUAAAGAGAUGGGCCAAAUCGCCAGAGGGGCCCAAACAGGCCCAAAUGAAGGGACACAGCCCAAUCUAAAGCCAGUUAAAGCCUAGAAAGAUAAGGGCGGUUCCCCAGAAGAUAAGAUGACCUCACUUAAAAGAUAAGAUAAGAUAACUAUCUUAUCUCCAGAAAGGUCACUCCACACUACUAUAAAUGCACUGGAGCACCCAGAUAUAACUCAUACUCUGAUUCUACAAAAAAAUACCUGCUUAAAGCCCAUGCUAACUUAAGCAUCAGAGUCUCUUGCAGGUACCACCACCCUCCGGUGACGAAGGAUCAGCAGCAUCUCCAGCUCCACCAGUUUCACCAGGUCGGACACGACAGCUCCGGCCACCAGUUCCAACAAGUCGGACACGACAACUCCGGCCACCACAGCAGAUCUCGUCCGAGAUUGACCUACAGUUUCAGGUAACCCUCGGAACAGACACAAUGACCAUUAAUAAAUUUUGUUUGCCUUUUUUUAUGAAGAUCAUAACUUGUAUAAAAUUAAUUUCCUAUACAUUAGUUUGGAGAUUUCAGACUCUAGUACUGUUACUUGUAUGUGAUAUACUGAUAUGUUGCUGAAUUACUUGAAUCUUUGUUCACUAAUUUUAGAUGGUCCAAUAUAUGAUUUCAUCUGAAUGUUUCCUAUUACUAGUUCUGUGUCCCUUGCGAGCCUUAUACAAUCUUGAACCAUAUCUGAUGCUAACUGUUCAACUUAAGAAUAUAUUCAACGUGGUUUUCCGUCAUGUAUAACUUAAAUUGUGCCCAUCCUCUAUGUAGAUACUCUAUUUUUAGCGGUUGCAAUACGGUGUGCUCGACAACUGUCUUGAGCAUGAGACACGGCUCGAUGGGUGGACCUCAGAGAGACUUGAAAAGAAGGCACAAUAUAUUCUAUCCGAGGCACUCAUUUCUCUCUUGUAAUCGGUUAAUUUAUGCUGUUAUGUAAGUCAGAGCUUCCUAUCAGACCACUCAAGAUGUUUUUUAUGUUUACUUUUUUUUGUCAGUUGUGCUAGGCAGAUGUCGCAGAUCCCGUGUGUUUGAGAUUUUAUUUUUUUUAUUUUUCUAUUUCUGGUUUGUGGUUUGGUGGUGCUUUGAGGUUUGAUUAAGAUCAUUGAUUCUCUUCGUUUCUUAAUUCAGGGGCGCCUUUUGACUAGACAUGGGGGAGGUGAAGACAUAAAGGGCCGGUCACCACAAGCUACGAGGAGGAAACCGGGGAAAAAAGAACCACAGAAUCGUGGGAAAAAGGAUUCGGUGCCGCCAAGGGUAAACACGUUUUAAGACUUCAGCGUGUUAGCAAGCUUACUUCACCAUUGUUAAUUUGGUUCAUGCUAUUGCUUCAAAUAGGGGAGGUCAGUCGGUGGAGAGAGUAAGCAGGUAUCAAAGGAAAGACGACCAAGGGGACGCACAACAUCUCCACCUCCAACAAGGAGAACUUCACGGCACGCCGAACAAUAAAAAACUAGCCCAAGAGUGAGUAUACGAUUACUGUUGUCUACGGUUUAAAUCAUCGACUAGCUUUGCUUAAGUUUAUUAGGUUCAUUUGAAUGUACUUGGAUGUUUCUUUACACAACAUGUUCGUUAUACGUAAAACAGCCUAGCAGAGGAGUUGUGCAAAAAAAGGAGGAGGCUAAAAAGGACCGAUCACGUAGGUCCACCCCAAAAAAAUCUUGAGAAAAAGGAUCUCCCAAUUAGCACAGAUGAUGAUGAGGAGAAUGAGCCUCUUGCCAAGCGGAUGUGCCGACUCUAUAACCAGGGAGUUGACCAACAAAAACCAAGUGCCGAACCAAUAGAAGGCAACCUUAAUCAGGAUAAGGGAACCCAUGAAACACCUGUCUCUAUAGUUCCCGAUGUAGGAACACUCUCCGUUGUGCUAGUGCAACAUGAAGAAUGGGAGUUCGACGGGCAAGUCUCCUAAUCAAAACUAUUUCAUUUUGUGGUCUAUUUUGCUUGUUAGUGAAUUAGGGAUUGUAUCCGUAUACAACUGCCAUUUCUCUAACAUCGGUUGAGUUUCUUGCAGUAAUCCCAAUUUUCUGUCGAACCGAGACCCCGAAAGUGAACGAAUAUGGCAAUACCUUGAGCAACUGCAGAACACGAGGCCACUACAGACCGUGAUGCCAACCACUCCGUCUUGCAUGACUCCUAGCCCACCAAGCAAGGAAAUCUCACCGUGCAAUACUCGGACGGAACAAAAGUAUACCCAAUGUACUCCUAUAAAGGUGCAUCCACUUCUAAAAGGGUGAAAGCUGGACGAGGAUGAUGAGGAGCAAUUGCGACGAUGGGCGGCCAAUGGAUCGUUGGAGCAAAGUCAGGUUGUGGCGUCCUAUGAAGGAAGACAGCAUCUAUCAUUGAUCCGAGAAGACAUCUGCUCACUGUUGCUCCGGCACUGGGUCACCAGCAAUGUAAGUAUAACAUACUAACACAUUGAUAGAAUGAAUAUGUUUCUUAAUAUAUAUCGUGGCUAAAACAGAUGACUCUAAUGCAAUUUAAAUUUUUUAUGCAGAUCGUUCAGUGGAUGCGUUCAACCUUUAAUGACUCAGAAUCGUUGCGGUUUAAGGAUGACUUUUAUUGUAUUUCUCUAGAAAUUUUGGUAUGCACGAAUUUGCGGAUUCUUAUCGAUAAUGAUUUGAGAUCUGAACCUAAAUAGUGCUUUUUUAAUAGAAAACUGUGUUGCAAAAGAGGAACUUGGAUUCCUUCAGGGAGAUUUCCACCGUUAGUUAUGUGGGGCUGGGUCCUCACUUCGGUGAUGAUUCUAGAUUUUUUGACAAGAUAGCAGCUUCCAUGUGAAAAUGGGUAAGUUAAUGCACUAGUUGAAAAAAACUGUAUGGUUCUUGUAAGGUCUCACAUCGGUUGGGGAAGGGAACGAAGCAUGCCUUAUAAGGGUGUGGAUACCUCUCCCUAGCAUGACGUGUUUUAACGAGUGAGUGUGGGGGGUUUUGGCUAUCAUCCCUAUCGUUAAAGGCAAAACCGUGAGGCCUUGUGUGCCAAAGCGGACAAUAUCGUACUAGCGGGUGGUCUAGGCUGUUACAAGAAAUGUUAAGAGAAGAGAGGGAGAAACGGAGAAGGAGAGGAAAGGGAGGAAGGAGCCGGGCCGGCGCUGCUGAGUUCGCCGCCGCCGUCGCGUUGCCGUGCCGUCAGAAAGCCAGAACCGCAAGAGAAAGAACUGCGAAGAGAGAGGGAGACCGCAUCAGCUCACCGCGAAGCCAGCGCCGUCGUCGUCCUUAUUGCGGGUCUACACCGUCGCGUCUUGCCACCGCCGCCACCACUAAGCUUGCCGUCGUCGCCAUUGAAGCCGAAGAGAGAGAGAGUGUGUUCGCGAAGAGAGGGAGAGCGCGCGCUCACGAAGGAGAAGAACGACGAAAAGGGAAGGAGAAGCAGAAGACGAUGAACCCAGGGGAGAAGGAGGAGGUCUGUUCUCGCACCGUCCUGCUCUGCACCCAGGUGAGCUCUUCAUCCCCCUGUAUCCUCUGCCCUCCUUUCCUCUCUCUUGCCCUUUCUUGCCGACAUUGAUCCAUUGUUGUCUUGUGUGUUGCAGAUCUCACUUCGCGUAGUCAUGGUCUUCCCCGCAGUCACAGUCGCAAUCGCCGUCUACGCAGUUUGUAGCUGCCAUCAUCCUCCGCGCAGUUCCCACCUGCUCACGGUACCAUAUCCUUGACUCUGUUUUCUGUUCCCAGAAUCUUAGAUAUAGCAUAAACUUGUUAUCUUGUGCAUUUUGUUGUUUUUAUGGAAUAUGCACGAAACUUUAUAUAUUAUUGGUUGUUAUUAAUAUUGUUUCAAAUUAAAGAGUUGUUUCUGCUCACCUCUAUCUAUAUAUGGCAAUUAUAUGACAAUUUGUUUGACCUUGGAAUUCUAGUAAACAUGAGAGAUUUGAAGAGGAAUUGUUAUGGUUUUGGUUGACAAUAAUGAUGUGAGCACUACAUAAGCUUGCUAAUUAUUAUGCUUGUAAUAUCGUACUGCUGUUUAUUGGCUUGUUUAUUGUGCACAUACCUGCUGUUUUAUAUUCUCCUAUAUCAACUGGGUUGUUGAAAUGGUAUUGCACUUUUUUAGUUAUGCUAAUAUUUCUAUUAUCUGCCCAUGGUAGCAAAUCUUUCAAGUAAAAUGGUAAUGAAUACUUUUCUCCUUCCUCUCAGGAAGCAAUCUUCAGAGUUAUAGCUGCUAUUCCUCAUCUUGGAAACAUUAACUUUGCAAAAUCAGAGGAAGAAACUGAUUCAUCAGUUCUAGAAAAUGAAGAGUCCAAGUUGCAUCUCCAAAUAACCGCAGAACUUCUCAUGUGUGACAAAAUUUCUAUUGUUAUCAUUUGCAAUAGCUUUCUUUUUGUUAAUGUUACAUAUCUUUUAAAUUAUUUCUUAUUUCAGGUGCGAUCCUAGUGCUUUGGAAGAUGCACUUUGUAAGCGUGUGAUGAUUACCCCAGAGGAAGUUAUUAAAAGAAGUCUUGAUCCUCUUGGUGCAACGGUUAGCAGGGAUGGUUUAGCCAAAACACUAUAUUCUUGUUUAUUUGACUGGUACUAUGUUAAUGUCAAGUGUAAAAUUAUGAAUUUAAAAUAUGAAAAAUGUGUCCUAUCCUAUGUUUAUUGCACUUAUGUUAUUUGAAUCUGAAUAAUUUUUUAUCUGUUCUAUUGUUAUGUGCAGGUUAGUCCAAAAAAUCAAUGUCUCAAUUGGGCAAGACCCAGAGUCAAAAUGUCUCAUUGGUGUUCUUGACAUAUAUGGCUUUGAAAGCUUUAAGAAUAACAGGUGAACAUAAUCAUAUUAUUCACUCAAACACAUGCGUGUGCACGCACACACACACACAUAUCAUUGUUCCUCUUGAGAGUAGCAUAAAUCUGAGUUGAUAUCUAAUUCCCUCUUUACAGUUUUGAGCAGUUUUGUAUUAAUUUCACAAAUGAAAAGCUGUAGCAACAUUUCAACCAGGUAUGAGGUUAGUUUUUAGAUAUUUGACAACUUCAACUAUCACUUUUUCUCAUAACAUGCAUUCCAACAUGGAUAAUGUCCUGCAGCAUGUGUUUAAGAUGGCGUAAACUCUUCCGAACUUCCGGCUUCGAUUUCUUGAAAUCCGUAACUCCAAUAAAAAAUCUAAUCCGGUAAGAGUAUUCGUAACCUCCUCCUCUACACGUUGGUACCAUUUUUGAUUAGGGGAAGUUGAUAGUGACGUAGCUCCUCUUUCCUUUGGGUUUGGUCAACGGGAGUUUUAGGAGGCACAGACGAUUCUGGACAUUUUCUUUUUCGAUAGCUCACUCAGAAAGCUUCUCCUGAGCUUUGAAUAUUUUGAUUUCGUACGAAGGUAUGGUUUUGGUUUCUCGUAGUUAAUGUUUAAUGUCACGUGAAAAAUUUAGGCUAGAAGACCUUAAGAUAGGAAUGAAUUGAAUGUAUAAUUGAUGGAUUGUGCAUAUUGGAUAAAAUGUGUGGUUUAGCUGUUGAUAAUAAUUUGCUGUUGAAGUUGGUCGGUUUGGAAAAGAUUUAAUAUUGGUAUUUGUUUGAUUUUGAAAUAAUUUGUUACUGGAAAUGAUUUGAAGGACUGAGAGGUGUUUGAUUUGAUAGUUGGGACCCUUGAAGGGUGGCAGAAAUUCGAGCUUUAGAAGAGUUACUGCCAAAACUUCUAUGAGAAUUGGAGUUUUGAUUUGAGAUGGUAUUUUAAGAAGAAAGAGAUUAUUAUGUGGCUUGUGUAUUUGAGACUAUUUGUUGACCCUCUGUCGCAAGAUGUGACCGGGCACUUUAACUCCCUGGAUUUUCCCAUGGGCAUGCAUAUAUAUGAAUAUUGAAUAUUAUAUUUGAGCUUGGAGUUCGACUCCAUGGAAUAUUAUAUUUGAGCUUGGAGUUUAACUCCAUGGAAUAUUAUUGAGCUUGGGGAUGCGCGCACAGAGGGACUGUCCAAUGGUUAACUACCAGGACAUAUUGGCUUGGCUGUAUAACUGACAGAUGAGACUCAUCAGCCAUAGGACAGGCAUACAUCAUAUGCAUUUGUUUGUUUGCUUGAGUCUGCAUUGUUUUGGUUUGCUUAACUGUUUAAUUCUGCUUAUCCGCUACUUGUUCUACUUGCUGUAAAUACUUCUCUAUCUGUGCUUUCCUUGCUUGAAUUGUAUGUGUAUGUUUUCUGAGAAAUCCCUCUUGAUGAAGGUGUGAGGGGAGAGGGUUGUUCCACCAGUGAUUCAGAGGAUUGGAGGCGACAGAAAAUGAAGUAUUAAGUUAAAUUUAGAUUCAGAACUUGAUCUUUACUAUAGGAAUAUAUAUAAUUCACUCUUGAAUGUAAUUAAAAUAAAUAUAUAUUUAUUUAAUUUUUUAAAUUUUAUAUUAAUUAUUAAAAUCAUGAUACAAUGGAUGUAUUCCUAUUAAAAAAAAAUAAAAAUGACUUCAUAACUAUUUGUUUGUUGGAAGAAAAUAUGACUCAACAACUAUAGAGUCUAAUUUAAAUAAUUAUAGAUAGGUAACAUAAGUAAUAAAAAGCAGACAUAAAAUAUAACCUUUUUGUUAUUUAGUACAAAAUAAAUACAAUAAAAUAAAUCAUUUUUCUCAUACAUAAUGAGAUAAAAUUUAAUAUUAUCCUUUUCUAGAGUCUUCUAUUAUUUUAGUUUUUAUCCUUAUUUUUUACUUUAUUUCAAUUUUAUUAAACCAAAAAAUACUAAUGUCAUUUAACUUUAAUUUUCAACUUUUAUCAUAAAUAAAAAUAUGUGACUUUGUAUGCAUUAGAUAAUAAAAAAAAACUCAUAAUAAAAAAAAAUUAAAUUUACUCAUUUAUUACAUUUAUAGGAGCGUAGAUGAUUCGCAUAAGAGUUACGAGAUUUUUGUUAAGCUUUUAUUUUUAAAGUAGUAUUCACUUCUAAGUGUAAUAAUUAUAAAUUAAUAUAUGUUGGUAAAUAAUUGCGAUCGAAGUGAAGAUAGAAAGAGAAUAAAAAACGGAGGAAGGAAGAGAGAACAAGCUAAUAUAAGAGUGGUAGUGAGGCAUAUGUAGAUAGAUAAUAAUAAGAAAAAAGAAUAAUACAACUUAAUGAUUUUAGUAUUAUACCUAAAUUAAUUUAAAUUUAAUUAUUUUAUAUAUUAAAAAAAUUAAUUAAUUUAUAGAUUUUUUAUUUUUUAUUUAAUUAUUCUAUACAAAAUUUUUGAAUGCUUGAUAUCUUAAUUUUUUUUUAAAUGAUAAAAUAUGACUUAACAAGUAAGAAUGAAAAAUAAGUAUCUAUAUAAUAGUUAUAUAUUUAGAUAUCUAAAUCAAACAAAAAAUAAUUCUUUUAACAAAUCUUUAACAACUCAAAAAAUUAACACAAUGGAUAUGUAUGAAUCAAAGUGAUAAACAAAAAUGAGAUAUGGAAUAAUGAUAAUAUGAUAUGGUGGUAAUUGAUUGCGGUUGGGGUUAAUAGAAGAAGAACACAAAAAAAAGAGAAUAAAACAAGGCAAUAGAAUAAUGAUAGCGAGACAAUAAUAGUUAUACAUAUAAAAAAACUAAUAGUGUAUAAUAUGAUGAGAUGAUACAAUCAAAAUAAAAAUUAAUAAUUUUAAAAUAGUAAUAAAAUUAAAGAUGUUUAAUAUAAAAUUAAAGAAAUAAUUUUUUAUCUAUUAAAAUUAUAUAUUAAAAAAAGNNNNNNNNNNNNNNNNNNNNNNNNNNNNNNNNNNNNNNNNNNNNNNNNNNNNNNNNNNNNNNNNNNNNNNNNNNNNNNNNNNNNNNNNNNNNNNNNNNNNNNNNNNNNNNNNNNNNNNNNNNNNNNNAUUUUUUAUUUUUAAUUUAAAUUUAUUUAUUUUAUAUUUUCUACAUAUAUUAAAUAACUUAAAAUAUUUUAUUUUUUAUAAUUUAUUUUUUAAUUAUUGAUAUUAACUUUAUAAUUUUAAAAAUAAAAAUAUAAAAUAUUUUUUAAAUUCAAUAGAAAAGCGCCUAAACAUGCCUGUUGAGCAUAUAUAACUUAAGCAUGACACGUUUAUUUUUCAUUAAUGAUCAAAGACACCUAAAUCUUUAUGUGUAACUUUUCUCUCAAAGUCAUGAUUAUUAGUACCUCAACCUUGCAUGCUUCAUUUUGGCUAAGGUAAGAAAGAAAGAACCGAGAGAAAGAAGAGAGAAAUCGUGACCCACACCAAAAGUUUUGUCUUUUAUUUGUUGUGAUCCGUAAUUUCAAUAAAAAAUUUAAUUUGAUAAGAGUAUUUGUAUCUUUUUUUUUUUUAUAUGUUGGGAUUACUUUUGUUUGGUAGAAGUUGAUAAUGACGUAGCUUCUCUUCCACUUGAGUUCGACCAAUUGGAGUUCUAAGAAGUACAGAUUAUUUCUGACGUUUUUUUUUUCGGCAACUUGGUUGGAAAGCUUCUCCGGAGUUUCCAUUAUUUUGAUUUCGUACGGAGGUAGGAUUUGGUAAUUCUAUAAUAAUUAAAUGUGAAUUUGAUAAGUGAAUAUUGGUUUAAUUGAUUAUUAGUUGAGUUUGAUUAAGUUUAUAUUAAAAUUUUGUUGAAUUAUUGUUGUUGUUUGUGAAUUGUGGUUCAAUCACGAAGAACAGCCUAGUUAGGGUUAUUUUAAUGAUUUUGGGGCUGUUGUGAAUGAAAAUUGUUGAUUAAAAUUGUUGAGGUUUGAUAGCCAAGAGAUUAGAUGAAUAGCGGCAAAAAAUCAGUAAUAGUAAAAUUUAAAAACAGACUUAAAACUCAAGUUGAAAACUCGAAAAAUUUUGAAAAUGGGGUUCAGUCCUUUGAUAAAAGAUGAUUUCUGAUAUUAAAGCAAGGGAAAAAUAAGAAGAAAAUAAAAGAUUAAAAGAAUCUAAAGAACCUCUGCCACAGGAGAGUAGAGAGCAAGAAUAAAAGAAACGAAAGAAAGAACGAAACGAAGAGGAGAUAAGUGGAGAUAUUGUUUGGCAUUAAGAACGAGCUGAAAUGAUUGUUUACCUGCUAAAAAUGAGCAGAGAUAUGGUGGUGAGUCCACCGAAAUUUGCUUUCCAGAGAUACAUCGGCCAAUUCAGGGGAUGGUCGCAUCUGUAAGACGGAGGUUGCUUACAAAGUUUAUGUUUGCAUACAUCGGCUCAAGAGAGUCGCACCUGUAAGACAGAAGGUGCUUACAGAAGUUAUGACACUGGAAAUCAAACUCAGACAAAGGUUGCUGAGUUACGACGGGAGCGAGUCAAAACCGACAGAUGAGCUCAUUACCUGCACUAGGGAUAGACAUGCAUCAUACUUGUUUGCGCAUACUUCUCUGUGAUAUAUGUUUCUGUGAUUAUGUGUGUACGCUUCUUGGCUUGUGAUUCUCUCUGUAUCUUUGGUCUGUUAAAGUUGUUUGUAUUAUAAGUUUUGUUGCUGUUGGCUAUGGUAAUAAAAUGAAUAUAACUAUACACCUCGAUUCUAUUAAGAACUCCCCAGUUCUUACCCCAUAUCUCCACCCCUUUUCAGCUACAGGUGCGAAGGUUUAGUGCGAAACUACAGGAGCAUAGAAGAUUAUGAUCAUGAGUUGAGUUGUUAGAAUUUAUUUUCCCCUCGUCGUUUAUUGUUUUUAGUUUCUAGAAGGGUAGGACUUGUAUUUGGAGAUCUUUGAAUAAAUCUAUGUAUUUAAUACUAUGUGAGUAUAUAUAUACCUUGUGGUUAACUGGUUUAAAAUAAAGAAUCUUCGUUUUCAUAAGUAAAAGUUUGAUUUGUAUUCUCAAAGGCUCAAUAUUAAAUAAAGAUAGUAUAGAAUAAAAAGAUUUAGAGGUACGUGACGCCUGGGUUUUUAGUACGAUCAUGAGGUGCUAAAAGAUAGGGUGUUACAGUUACCAUUAUUAUAAUGAACUGUGAAUGUGACUUAAGAAACUCAUUUCUUUAUUCAUUCAAUCCCCUUGGCCAAAGUUUUAUUCAUCUCAGUCCUUAUAAUCAUAGAGCUCAAACUCUUUACCGAGAGUUGACAGAUUCCUUAUUAACUAAUCAUUAACUCUAAGUAUUUAAAUCAUACUUAAUAUCCAUUCAACUAGCACCCUAAUGUAUUAGGUGUCCGGAAUUAAAGUAUAAUAAAUACAUUGUCAAUUACUAUGAUAGUCGCAGGUCAAAGGAACUCUAUUACUAUAUUCAUUUUGAGAAUAUCCUAUUGACAAAUAUGCGGUAAUUAUAACCAUUAGAAAUUCUCAAAGUGAGUCAGUUCAAUGGACAUAUCUCUAUAUGCACCAUCUAUAUAUAUAAUUUAAUAAAUGAGAUCUAUUAAUUUUCAUCUAAUGAAGACCAUUAUAUAUAUAUUGAUCUUUUCGAAUUACUAUCAUAAUGAUAAAUUUUUAAAUUUAAUUAAAAAUCUUAUUAUAUUAAUAUUUUAAUAUAAUAACAAUAACAAAUUAUUUCACACAUGAUUAAUUAAAUUAUGGUUAUACUAUUUAUUCCCAACAUGUUUGCAUUGUGAUGAUGGCUAUAAGAGACAUUAUAUGGAACCUGAGUGGUAUGAUAGUUGAGAAGAAUGGCUUGUUAGUUCUGCGUUAGAUUUUAGUGUUGGUUUACGUGUUUGAGGAGAUGAAGGAGGGGUGCCCCAUAGGUUCCUAGCUACUCUCUAGGCGAGAAUGAAUGUCCCUCCAUAAGGGAAAAAAUUUCAAAGUUGUUUUCCUUUUUUUUUUUCAGUUCAACUUAGUAACAACAACCUUUUCCACGAUUUUUUGGGGGAUGGGUCUGCGCAAAAAGAUACAACAACAAGAAAGAAGACCCAAGAACAUGUAUAGGAAAAAUAUUGCACUUAAGGUUCUGGGCCUAUGGGCUUUGGCUGGGAGGCUGUCAUUAAACAGCUUGGGCGUAUAGGGCAAAGAAGUAGAAGUUGGACAACUUGGUAAGCCCAAUAAAGAAAAAGUACCAACUCUGCUUGAGCCACUUAUAAGAUAGAGCCCAAUAACUUGGUAUGAACCCUUUUUUAGUGUUGUGUAUAGAGUGGAUGAGUUGUUAUAUGACCAUAAAAAAACUAAAUAACUUCUUUUUGGUACAUAAUAUUUGGAUUAACUUUAAUAAAUUAAAGCCUCUAAUAACUUGAUAUAUACUACAUCAUCAUCAUCAUCAUCAUCAUCAUCAUCAUCAUCAUCAUCAUCAUCAUCAUCAUCAUCAUCAUCAUCAUCAUCAUCAUCAUCAUCAUCAUCAUCAUCAUCAUCAUCAUCAUACGAGAAAUGACUAAAUGUCUUUAUAUCGAAAAUUUUUUUUUAUAUGACAUAGAUGUUGAUAAAGAAUAUCUUUUCAUACAAAUUGUCCGCGUCAAAAUUCUUGAACAGAGAUAAAUUUGGGAAAACAAUGAAAAAAGGUCAAUAAGACAAUAACCGGAUAACAUGAAUUUUGGAGUAUAAUUUUUGAAUUUGGAACGUAUAGUUUUUGAAUUUCUAUUCAUUGUUAUUUUAGAUUCUUUCGCCCAGGUUAAUUACUUAUUAAUUUUUUUUUUAAAUUAAGUAUGAGACUUGAAUUCGAAAUNNNNNNNNNNNNNNNNNNNNNNNNNNNAAUGCAUGCAGAUGGAUUGAAUGGUCUUAAAUUGUAAAUAUUACAGUAUCACAAACGCAUAUCACUCAUACUAUAUAUUUAUUAGUUUUUGUCAAAUUUCAAACUUAAAUGUAACAUAUUAAAAGGCACUAAUUUUUCAGUUCAACUAAAAUUUCUACUGACAUUUAUCUUCAAAUUAAAAAGAUAAUCUAACAUCUAACUUUUAGUAUGUCAUGAUCGUACAAAAAAUACGGAGUUACUAAUCUGUUUUCCUUAUUUACUAUUUAAUAUUGAGCCUUUAGUUCAAUAUCGUGUUUCAGUUUUAUAGAAAAUCUCAGAAAAUUUUUGUUUUUGUUUUAAAAAAAAUCAUAAAUAAAAAAUCAUCAAGUAAUAAUAAUCACAUAAUUAUUGAUAAUAAUAUAUGUGAUACAAAAGAAUUCAAAUGAAACACAGAUACAAUUCUUAUCUCUCUGUAUAAAAUAAAAUCUUAAAUAACAAAGACGAGGGAAUUCUAUGAAAACAACUCAAUACAUAAACUUAACUUAAAUAAAAUUCAUAAUCGCUUGCAGCUUCAAACUGGGUCUCCGAACCUGUGUCACUGAAAGGGUGGAAGAUUUUGGGGUGAAAACAAACCACUAGUUCUCAGUAGGGAAUAGAAAUGCCGUAAAAGUAAUGAAAUAAAAUGCAAAUAACUAACUUUACUCAUUAAAACUAUUUUGGUAAACUUUUGAAGAUACUUUUUAUUUUUACUUUAUUAACUUAUUACCUUCUUUAAAUUUCCGAACUUAAACUAAUCUCAAUCACAAUCUCAAUUCCCAAUCACAGAGAAACAAUAGCAUAAGAAACAGAUCAACACACAAACAAAUUGCAAUAAGAUAAACAAGUCAAGCAGUACAAUCACAGAGAAAAUAUAACAAGCAAAACAAGACCAAAUACAAAUGUGCAAUCAAUAUGAUGCAUGUCUGUCCUAAGCAGGCCAUAAGCUCAUACGUCGGUUGUCUACCCGCAACCUGACAUUAUUCGGAGUGACCCCGAAUAUGGUCCCUUUACUGUGUCAAUUAGACACCUUGGCAUCACGGUUAUCCGUGUCAAUUAGGCCUCAUUAUAAUAACGUUUUAAUGUGUAUCACAGUAAGGAAUAGUGCUAUCAAUUAGGCGAACAUUCCCGCAUUAGCAACCCCAGGCUAUCCGUUAGGCGGGCCCUUUCGCAUUAGUAAUUUGGCACAAGACUCAUUCACAUUUCAUUUUCAUGAAUCAUAAUCUACUUCAGUUUUUUCAUUCAUGACUUUACAUUAUUCCUCCACAUCACCAAUUACAUACUCAUACUUCCGCAUCAUCACCACUUAACUAUACAGACCUCCGCAUCACCUUAUUAUUAUUCACACCUCCGCAUCACCACAUAUUCCUUCGCUUAUCAUACCUCAAAAUAUUAGUUUCUAGACAGCCAAACUUCUUUAAUGAUUAAUAAAAAUUUCUUUCCUUAAUAAAUCGGACUCAAGUUAUUAUUUAAACAAAAAACUUUUCUCAGUAGAAUAAGCUUAAAACAUAACUCUUUUCCUAAUAAAUUGAAAGCCAAAUAGAAUGAGUUUUAAAUCAAAUUCUCUUUUCAUUAACGCUUUAAGCAAAGCCUCGAAUUUUUAUAAAAAUUUUUGCAGCAUUUCCUCUAAAAUUUGGGUUUUGCCACCCUUCAAAGGUCCCAACAAAUCAUUUUCGAUUCUCAAAUAUCAUUCCUAAUAAACCAGACAAUCCAAAUCCAAUGCCAAAUCAUUUUAUAAAUCUUAAGGCUAAUCAGGUACAAUUUCAAAAUCUUUUCUCAAAAUAAGCUUGUAAAUCAGAUUUUUUAUACAAAGUUUGUUUCUUAAUGUAAAUACAUAUUUAAAUCGGGUUUUCAAAACAAAACCACUCUUUCGUAUGCUUUUUACAAAAAAUUCGAACCAAACAUCCUCUUGAAAGUUAGACUUCACCACCCCCUUGGACUCCCUCAUUUCCUCAACAAUUCUCAAUACAGCAUAAUUUUCAAUAAUCAAUUUACUUUAUUUCAGUUUAGUAACUAACAUUUCACUUUAACAUUCAAUACAAUAAUAUCCAAUCAAACUAGCAUCUCAGUUAACAAUAAUUCCCAAAUCAGCUUGCAACAAAGCCCAUUAUUAUCAAAUAAAUCUCAAAUCAACAACCAAAUUGAGAAAUUGACAUGACUAGAAAUUCCAGUAACAAUCACUACGUCAAUCUAAACUCAAUUCAUAAAACUUAAUUCAUAUUUUAGUUUAACAAAUAACACCAAAUUAAGCACCAUCCACAACCAGAAUUCAACCAAUCCUCAUCAACUAGUCAUACUAAAUACUUAUAAAUUAUUUGCAAUUAUUCAAUCAGUCUUUUGGGCAUUCUUAAAUUGAAAACUGUUAACUUUAAAAUAAAACCCCCUACCUCAAUUAGUCGAAACCGCAGAAUUUAAAUGCGACAAACCCUCUUAUUCUAAAUUCACACCAGCAGUGGCUUAAAACCAGCAGUAGCAACAGCAGUAACAUUAUCAAUAAUCAUAGCUAUAGGGGAUGAAAUGAAAUAAAACGAGAAUAGGGUAACAAAUGAAAUAGCAGCAGAGAAAGAAUAAAAACAGAGCAAAUUAGAGGAAGGGAUCUAGACCAUAUCAGAGGUACUUGGACGGCAUCCCAUUUUUUUUAAACGACAACGGUGAUCAUGGCAGCAGCGGUGGCGGCUGAACAGCCCUCUGUCUCUCGGCACAAGCCUCACACAACUCCUUUCCUUGUUCUCAAGGCCCCUCUCUCCUUUCGCACAUGCAACAGAUGAUGGCGGCUAUAGAAACAGCGGCAGCGCUAGAGCAUUCGGUGGUGACGACGGGGUCAUGGCGUGGCGGCAGUGACAGAACACAACAGCAGUGACGGUUCUAACGGCGACUGGUCCCUCAGCGGUGGCAGAACGCGACGGCUCUUCUCCUCCGAUGCGGGCUCUCUCCUUCUUGUGACAACGCCGGCAACGACUUCCCACGGACAGCGACUGGCCGGCGCGAUUCCUUCCUCCAUCGUGGUCCUCUCUCUUGCCUCAGUUCUGAUCCGUGAUGAAGAUGACUUCGCGGACAGCAGCGGCAGUAAGGCGCGGCUUCCCCUCCUCUCCUCUUCUCCCUUCAGUUCUCACUCACAACACACACAACAAAUAAACAAACAAGCACACAGACACAUAAACAUACAUAGAGGGAGAGAAAGAGAUUGUAAGGUCCCAAGGUCUCACAUCGGUUGGGGAGGAGAACGAAGCAUACCUUAUAAGGGUGUGGAUACAUCUCCCUAGCAUGACGCGUUUUGACGAGUGAGUGUGGGGGGUUUCGGCUAUCAUUCCUAUCGUCAAAGGCAAAAUCGUGAGGCCUUGUGUGCCAAAGCGGACAAUAUCGUGCUAGCGGGUGGUCUAGGCUGUUACAGAUGGUAUCAGAACCGAACCCGGAUUGAUGUGCCAGCGAGGGCGCUAGGCUCCCUUGGGGAGGUGGAUUGUAAGGUCCCAAUAAGGUCCCACAUCAAAGGCAAAACCAUGAGGCUUUGUGUGCCAAAGCGGACAAUAUCGUGCUAGUGGGUGGUUUAGGCUGUUACAGAUGGUAUCAUAGCCAGAGCCCGAAUCGAUGUGCCAGCGAGGGCGCUGGGCUCCUUUAGGGAGGUGGAUUGUAAGGUCCCAAUAAGGUCCCACAUCGGUUGGGGAGGAGAACGAAGCAUGCAUGCCUUAUAAAGGUGUGGAUACCUCUCCCUAGCAUGACGCGUUUUGAUGAGUGAGUGUGGGGGCUUCGACUAUCAUUCCUAUCGUCAAAGACAAAAUCGUGAGGCCUUGUGUGCCAAAAUGGACAAUGUCAUACUAGCGAAUGGUCUAGACUGUUACAGAUAACAUAUCACUUUUCCAAAUUUUUUGAAGUGGUGGACCAAGGCAAAUGAAGUUUUUGAGAUACUUUUACACUUCUAUGGUAAACAAAAUUGUCAUAUGAGUCACGCAUUCAAAAAUUUUAAACAGUAAAGACAAAUAUAUAAUAUAUAAAAAUAAUAAAAGUAAAACACAUUUUUUAUUAAUUACGUAAUAUAUAUAGUAUUUUAAAAAAAAUUAUAUAUCANNNNNNNNNNNNNNNNNNNNNNNNNNNNNNNNNNNNNNNNNNNNNNGUAAAUAAUAUAAAAAUAUAGUAUAUUUUUAUUUUAUUAAUGAUUAUUCAUGUUGUUCAAAAAAAUUAUUAAUUACCUAACAUAACCCUAUCCAAUAUUAAUGCAUUAGGCAUGAAAACACGUCCAUGUUCAAUCCCCUCGUUAUGCUAAAAAGCUAUCUUAAAAGGAAGAAUUUUAGAUUAAUUUGAAAUACUAAUGUAAAACACGUUUUUAUAUCUGUAGAUUAAAAAAAGCCUCACGUUUCAAUAAUUUGCAGAUUGUAUAUAUAUAAAUUCGUCGUACACGUGUCUUCAAUUAUUGUACCAUUGCAUAUUUAAUUUGAAUAUUAUAAUGCAAAGGGAGAAAAUAUCUAUAUGACGAGUUGACGACAGAAGUUGAUGUAAUAAUAAACUAUAGUCGUCAAUUAUUGAAAUUAAUAAUCAAAUAUAAUAUUCUGGUGAUGUAGUAUAUAUAAACUUUAAGGAUUUGCAUCUUUUAAAGUUUAAAUUUUACUUUAGAGAGUAAAGUAUGAUCUUCUAUUUUUGAAUAAAUUUUUUUUAUAUAUUUAUUAUUGAUCUCACCUAUAAAAUCAAUAAUGAGAGAUCACACUUUAUUCUCUAAAGUAAAAUUCAAACUUUAGAGAAUCCAAAUCCAAACUUCAAUUAUUGAAGUCCAAUCCUUUCAAUAGAUUUUAAAUUCAAGGAUCACUUUACUUGAAAUGAAAAUAAAUAUCAAUUUGCGACCAAACUCGACUUAUCUCUUCAAAAAUGUAGAUAUAUAUAAUUUUGACAUGUUAGAUAUAAAAUAAAGUUUAAAAUUGAUAUUUAAUUUAAUAUAAUUCUAAUCUAAUUUAAUUUUUUCGUAUUUAUCUUAUUUUAUUUGAAUAAUGUAAUACUACUCAAUUUUCUAUUUAUUCUAUUAAAAAUAUAAGCUCUAAGUAUUUUCCUUAAUUUAAUCCACUCUAAUAUUCAUGAAAAUGAGGAUUUCCUGGAUUGGUGUGACGGUGAUGACACUGGGGUGGCUUAGUAUCAUUUUAUUUUUGGCCGAUUGCAUAGGUUCGUUCUCCCUUGCUUUCUUUGAUGCUUUGAUGAUGUGAAAUAAGAAUAUUCUGUAUAAAAUAAGAUGAUUAGAUAAUAAUAAGAAUGUAACACAUGAAGUGUUUUUGUCAUUUUGUCAAAGUUUUAUUUGUUAAGAUUUCAAGCUAUUCAUGGAAGAUGGUCUAAUAAUUUGGGAUUUUAUUGAUUAAGAUUUUUUUUUUCAAAACUAGUAUUUUUAUUUGUAAUAAAAUUACGAAAAUAUAAAUCUUUUAAAAUUAUGUUGAUUUUGUCUUGACAUUAUAGAUUAUAGAACAAAAAAUUUAUAGAAUUAAAUUACUUUUACAAAAAGGUUACAGGAGACAAAAAUUUCUGUCGACUAAAAAGAUCAUGAUCUCUGUAGAUUAUAAAAAAUCAAAUAAUAUGAUUUUUAGUUAUUAUUUUCAUGUGAAGAGUUUUAUUUUUACUAAUAAUUAAUUUUAACAUUCGUUUCUAAAAUUUAAAAGAAUUUAACGUGUAUACUUUUAUAUUUGAUUACAUAUUUUGGUUAUUAAAUUAAUUAGUAAUAUAUAAUAUAUAAUAUAGUUAUAUUUUAAUUUUAAUAUUUUAAUUUAAUUUGAAUACAAUUAGAGAAUGACAUGUUACAUAUUUUAAUUGUCAAAUUUGUAAUUAGUCAUUAAUAAUGAUAUAUAAGAGAGAUAGAAUUGGUGAAGAAAUGAGAGAAAUAGAAAAAAAGGAGUGGAAAGAAGGGAGAAUUCUUUAAUGUUUCGAAUGAAAGAUUCGAUUUCAACUGGAAUGAGCGAGGGAGUGACAUGUGGUACAUUUUGGUUGUAAAAUUAGUAACAUAUAAUAGAUAGGUAUAAAAUUAACUCAAAAUUAUUUUUUUUAAACAAUUGAAUUUUGAUUCUAACUUUUAAACACAACAUUAGUAUUCUUUUCAAAUUAUAUAUAAUAAAUAUUUGAAGGAAGAGAAGUAAAAAUAUAGAGUAGAAAUAUAAGCAAUAAAAAUUUUAAAAUUAAAUAAAAAAAUAUGCAUAUAAUAAUAAUAACAUUAUUAUUAUUUUUUAUUUGAAUUAUAUUAUGUUGUUAAUUUUUUUUAGAACAUAAAAGUAGAGAAAAGUAGAGAAUGAAAGAAAAGAGAGAGAAAGAUAAAGAAGAAGAAUAAGAGAGGAAAUUUGUUAAUUUUGAAAAGAAAAAUUUUAUUUUACUUGUAAUAAAAAAUAUCUAGUGACACAUUUUAUUUGUCAAAUUACUAAUAUAAAAUAUAAAUUAUAAAUGAUAUAUAGUGUGAAAAAGAUAGAGAUAAAUAAAAAAAAGAGAGGGGUAGAUAAGAAAAUGUAGAAAAGAAGAUUAUUAACUUUGGAGAAAAAUAUUUUCUCUCAAUUUUAAUAAGAGAGUGUCAUGUGACAUAUUUUGAUUGUUAAAUUUGUUAGUAAUAUAUAAUAUAUAAUAUAGUUAUAUUUCAAUUUAAAUUUUAAUAUUUUAAUUUAAUUUAAAUGCAAUUAGAGAAUAUCAGGUUACACAUUUUAAUUGUCAAAUUUAUAAUUAGUCAUUGAUAAUGAUAGACAAAAAGGAUAGAUUGGGUAAAGGAAUGAGAAAAAUAAAAAAAGAGAAUAGGAGGAGGGGAGAAUAUUUUAAUUUUAGAAGAAAAUAUUUGAUUUAAAUUGAAAUGAGAGAAUAAUAUGUAACACAUUUUAGUUAUAAAAUUAGUUCAGUAAAUAACAGUUUAAUUUCAAUUUAAAUUUAUAUAUUGAUUAUUUACGCAUUUAUAUAUUUUUCAUCAAAUAAAACUAUAUUUUACCAAGUAAUAAAACUCAUCCACUUGUCACACAUUUUUAUUGCUUAAUUAUAUUACUUAAAGAAUAUGUAGAAAUAUUGAAAUUGAUGUGGUAAAAUGAAAUUAAAGUUCAGAUGAACAAAGAAAGAAAAGUGUGAUUGUUUAUUCAAUUCACAGAGAAAAGAGUUCAUGUCAAUACAAUACAAUGCAACUCCUUUAUAGUAAGCUAGCAUAACCGAUUCUAGCUCAAGAAAGUUAACUACCUUUCUUUAACUCACUCUUCCUAACAGAAACAGAAUCUGUUUAAUAAUCAAUUCUGUGUCAUUGCUAAUUUGCUAUCCCUUUCAGUCCCCCUCAAAUUCAAGAGUACUUUUAAAGUGACUUUGAGUUUGGAUUUAAAAUUAGAGAAUAUUAAUAGAGAGAAUAGUUUAGUGUAUAUGUUUGCAACUUGGUCUACUCCAAAAAUAUGAACAAUAUUAAAUUUAUGUUGAAUGACUAAGUUUCGAACAAAGCGAAUAUUGAUCUCAAAAUAUUUGUUCGUGGAUAAAGAAUUGGGUUUGCUGAGAGUUGAACCGCACCGGAAUUAUCACAAUAGAUUGUUGGAAUUUCAGAGAGCUUAAAAUGCAAUUCGACUAGAAGAUUUUUGAGCCAUCUGAUCUUAGUAGUUAAUCAGCCAGGGCACGAAAUUCUGCCUCUGCACUAGAGUGGCCGACACAAUGCUGUUUUCUACUUGUCCAAGACACAAUUUUCGAUCCUAAAUAUACGUACGGAAAUAUUUAGUAACCAAAGAAAAUUAGUAAAAAAUAGUCAUAAUUUAUCUUAUUUAGUAUUUAUUAAUUGUUGUAAUAAUUAAUGAAUGUUAAAUAAAGCAAGUUCUGAUUGUGUUAUUUGUCUCCCUAGCAUUAUUGGCACACAUAAUAUCUAGAAGUUAAGCUAUGAUGAUCAAUCAGCAUCUGCAAAGGAGAAAAUUCUUAAGUCCGUGCAUGGAUGAAAGAUAAUUCUUUGAUCCAAUGUCCCAGUUAGAUAUCGAAAAACACGCUUCAUUGAUUUUCAAUGAGCUAGCAGAUGUGUUUGCAUGAAUUAGCUCAGUUUGUUAACUGAGAAAGCGAUUUCAGGUCUUGUUAGAAUGCAAUAUUACAAUGCAACCAUUAUGGAACGGUAAUGAGUUGGAUUUUCAUAUGCUUCAGAUCCAUGAUUAGAAAGCUUCUUUGAUGUGAUCAUUGAUGCUGGAGCAGGUUUGGCUUUACUCAUUUCUGCUCGUACUGAGAGAUCUUUGAUGUAUUCGCUUUGGGAUAGAUGGUAAAUUCCUGAGAAAAACUUUACUGCUUCAAUAUCCAAGUAGUUGAAUAUUCCUAGAAGAAGACAAUGAAUGAUGAACAAAAAGAUAGGAGUAAGAUCGAGUACUCUUAAAACCAAAUUGUGCAAGGAUUGAUGAUAAAGUAAUGUACCAAGCUUGAAGUGCUUGGCAAAGACUGUAUAUAGCUUUAUUUAAUUUGCAUACUUGAUAGUGGUUGUUUAAGAUAAAUAGUUUUGUUUACUUUUUUAUUCAAAAAUGCAUUGUUGAAAUCAUACUAUAUAAAAGUCAAAUACACAAUAGCUAAAGUUAGAAUUAGGUUUGGUUUGGUAAAGUUUUUUGAAACAGACUAUAUACUUGUACUUGCAGUUUUUAAAAGAUUAGAUUAAAAUACUUUUAAAAGCACAUAAGAUAAAAUUUUUUAAAAUUGACUUAUACUUUUCAAAAUUUAAAAGUAUAAUAUAAUCUCAUAUAUCAACUAAUUUUUAAAUUUUAAAACUAUUUUACUAAACGAAAUUGUUAUUACUUAUAUUAUUAAAAAUUAUUUUUAAUUUAAUUUACCAAACAUAAAUACUACAAUUUUUAAAAAAUCAUCAUUUAAAAUUUAACUUUUAUAAAUUACUUUUAAAAAAUAAAAACUUUAUCAAACUAAACUUUACUCUAAUAGAAACUGGUUUAAUCAGUGGACGGAAGACCUCAUAAAAAUCCACUCCUUCAAUUUGAUAAUUAUGUCUAUGGCACCAAUUUUGCUAUAUAUCUAAGAACAAUGUCAUUAGGAUGCCUUUUGACGAAAACAUCCAUUUAGAUCUAAUACUAUUUUAUUGUUAUCCCUUUUUAAAUAUAAUUUUUUUCUAUUAUUUUUCUUUUUUUUAAGAAAAACUAUUAAAAAAGAGUGAUUUUUUCUGCAUUAAUUUAUGAUCGCAAAAUAGUUAANNNNNNNNNNNNNNNNNNNNNNNNNNNNNNNNNNNNNNNNNNNNNNNNNNNNNNNNNNNNUAUAUUAUGUAUUUAUUAAAAUAAAUUAUUUAAUUUUAAAAAUAUUAUGUACACACUAAAAAUUAUGAUGGUUUUCAGUGACUAAGAGAAUGGGUUGAAUCUUAGCCCCUUUUUUCUUGACAAUACUUGCUGGUCUUUGAAACAGCUUCUGGAGACUUUUUGCCUUUUUUGUCUCGUCCCUAGCCACGAGACUUUUUCUUUUGUCUCGUAUCCAGCCAUAAGACUUUUCUUUUUGUCUCGUCGAUCAGCACGAGAUAUUUUCAGUUUUAUCUCCUGAGCAGCAGAAACAGAAAUGGAGUAGAAGAAGGAGAGAAUUACACCAAGAUAUAUCCUGGUUCAGCUGCUAAGUGCAAGGCAACCUACAUCCAGUCUCCAUCACAACAAUGAUGAAAUUUCACUAUAAUCAUUCUUGAUUACAAACACCAAUUUUUCCUACGAACUACCCUUCCUAUUUGGGACAAGUCCAGAAUCUAAUCCCAAACUGAACUUGACUUGGUCACUGCCAAGCUUUCAACUGUAAAGUGCUAACCCAUCUUACAAGGGGAUUCCCACAGAAUCAUGAAACACAACACAUAUGUACAAAGGACCUCUAAGGACAUCUAUGGCUUUUCUUUUAAUUUUGCACUCUUUGCCUUUUUUCGCUCUAUGACUUUUUCUUACAAACCUCACUGUUUGCCUUUUUCCAUGAGACUCAAGACAUGACAAAAUUAAACAGAAAAAUACAAAAUAUAAAACAUUGAAGGAGAAGAACUUCUGUAAGCUUGGGGAGCUAUAGGAACUCUGUGCUCACUCUUUUCCUUAAAUCAAACCUUGACUGUUCACCCUUACUUAUAGGGAGAAGCCUCCAAGGUUGAAACCAAACAAACCAAGCCAAUCUUCUUCUUCUUCAACCAGAACCGGUUCGGCCAGAGAGAGAGAAGAGAUAACCCAUGCAAAACCCAACAUCCAAUUACCUCUAGUCCUUCCUUGGUCACCACUCUUCAUCAAUCCGAGCCCUUCAUCCUUGCCUUGCUCUCCAAGAUGAACUUCUGGCCCUUGAUGCUUCAUGAUGAUGAUAGCUUCAUCUGCUCAAAUCUCUGCCUCUUCUAUCACGUAGCCACUCUAGCUAUCUCCUGUGGUGGCUGAGCAGAAUCAGAGACAAGCCAUCCCUCCAAGGAUCUUCUUCUCUGACCGAGAUCUUCUUCAACCAUUUUUGGUAUGGAGAAGCCAAGAUGUCAUCACAAAAUCUUACCACAAGUGAAUGAGAAUCUUAACCACAGUAUACUUUUAGUUUUCUUUUUCUUGCCAUCAUUGUGAUGGUCUUGUUACUUGCAUCUUCAUCUCUUCGGUGUCUAGCCAUAGCUUCCAUGCUUUCUCUGUAAUGAUAUGACCGAAGGUAGAAGAGAGAGUAGAGAGAGAAAGGAGAAAAAGUAAAGCUAUGAGUAAUGAGUGUUAUUCAUAAAUAAAUUAAUUAAGAUCAACUUCCCAUACUUUUGUGUAGUAGCGUGUAAGCCACAUUAAAACCAUCUGAUCACUUUUCUCUUUCUUUUUCAUAUUUCCAAUGCAAGUCAUUCAAGUUUUAAUUGAAUUUGAAAUCCACCAAAACUUGAGGUGGGAUCCGUUGGAAACUUAGAACUUUACUUUUCUUUCAUUGUAGAUUUCGGACCAAGUCUUGGUUUAGAUAGUAAAGAUUUAAUUGGGCUUGUAGUAACAAUAUUUCAAACUGGCCCAUUUAUAAAAACUCUUUAGCCAACAAUCAUAUAACAAAUUUGCAUAAGGCUGAAUUUUGAUUUUGUUGGGCCUAGGAUCUUUUCUUUUCUUUUCGGCCCAAUUAACCACAAAUUGCUUCAUCCACUCAAUUUAUCAUUUUUUAUACCCAAGGCUAAAUAUAUGAAUUCAUGUUAGGCUGAUCAAUUUAUUUGGCCCAGCAGAAACCUGUAUCAACAAAAUUAUUAAUUAAACAAGUAUGAAUUAAUAUCAAGUUAAUAAUUUUAUAAAUAAUUAUUUUAAUAAUGUUUAGUCAUCACAAAAAUUAAUUUAGAGUUUUCCAAACUCAUCAAUCUCUCCCUUGAUGACAAACAUUAUUAAAAUUGAAAUGGAAAGAAAUCACUCUUCCCGGGUGUGGCUUUCUUCGGUGGAGAUGGUGGUGGUGACGGAAUGGGUGAGGUGUGAGAUUCUUCCUCUUCCUCCACAGGAACUUUCUCUUUCUUCUUCCUUGAAGAGGUUUUCGUGGCUAUGACCUUCCUUCUCAUAGUGUCGGUUUGUUUUGAGGGAGGUGAGGGAGAAGAUGAUGAUGUAGAAUGAAUAUGGAUGUGGGUGUGUGAUUGUGGUGUGGAUGAUUUUUGAGAGAAGAGAAUUCGUUCGCUUUUUCUAGGUGCAGUUUUCUUUUUCAUGAUGAUAAUGGUGAAGUGGAAUAGGAAGGGUUGAUGAAGGCCGAAUUGAGUGUGGGAGUGGGGAGGUUAGAGAUGUAAUAAAUGAGGAGUGGAGAGGAAAUUGGAGGGAAUUUAAUGACCAUUAAGGAGUGGUUAUUACCCAAGGGAGUUUCUCUUUUAUUUGAAAUAAAUUGAAAAGUAGUUUCCUAGAAUCAAGGGAUUAGUUGAGGAAAAGGAUUUGAUUUGACAAUCACCACUUCCAACUAGAUUUUAUGAGAUAACAAAAAGAGAUUGUGAUUUACAUAGAGGAAAACUAACAAAACGGUCAGUGUGGGGUCAAAGAAAUUUGGUGGGCCCAUGAGAAUUGAUUUCGGCGCAGUCUCCCCCUUGAUCACAGCCCUUCCAACACACUCUGAUUUUUAUCUCGUCGUUUCCUACGAGACAAAACUGAGCAGAAUCAAAAUUUCACAAGUUAUCAACGGAAAUUAAAUCAAUCAUUCCCAAAAUUUUUCUCAAAGUGCAGAAUCUGUCUUCACAGAGGGGUUUUGUAAAAAUGUCAGUAAGUUGGCCUUCAGAUUUUACAAAUUGAAUAUCAAUAGUACCCUUUUGCACAUGUUCCCUAAUGAAAUGAUAUUUUAUCUCAAUGUGCUUGGUUCUUAAGUGCAGAACAGGAUUUUUUAAAAUGUUUAUAGCACUCGUAUUAUCACAAAAUAAGGGUAUACUAUUGAUCUUUAAUUUGUAAUCUUUCAACUGCGUUUUUAACCAAAUUAAUUGUGAACAACAUGCAGAUGCAGAAAUAUAUUCAGUUUCAGCUGUGGAUAGAGCCACUGUGGUUUGCUUUUUGCUUGACCACAUGUUGAGUGAGCUUCCAAGGAAGCAACACAUGCCGGAUGUACUCCGUCUAUCCACCCUAUCUCCCACAUAAUAUGCAUCACAAAACCCUACUGCACAAAAGUCAUCAGAUUUAGGAUACCACAAGCCAUAGUCACUAGUUCCCUUAAUGUAUCUAAUGAUGCGCUUAACGGCUGAAAGAUGGGAUUCUUUUGGGUGAGAUUGAAACCUUGAACAUACACCCACACUUUGAACAAUGUCCGGUCUAGAAGAAGUAAGGUACAUGAGUGAACCUAUCAUUUUUCUAUACCUUGUUUCAUCCACAUCUUUGCCAUCAUCAUCAUUUUCAAGUUUUGUGUUAGGAUGCAUUGGUGUUCCCAUUGGUUUGGAACUUUCUAGGCCAAAUUUUUUUAUAAGUUCUUUUGCAUACUUUCCUUGGUGAAUAAAGGUACCACUAGGAGUUUGUUUAAUUUGGAGGCCAAGAAAGAAAGUAAGCUCUCCCAUUAAACUCAUCUCAAACUCACUAGUCAUGAGUUUUCCAAACUCUUCACACAAGGACUCAUUGGCCGAACCAAACACAAUGUCAUCCACAUAAACUUGUACUAGGAGAAUAUCAUCAUUAGAUGCUUUAAUGAAUAAAGUUGUAUCGGUGAUUCCCCUUUGAAAGUGAUUUUCCAAUAGGAGGGCAUUAAGCCUUUCAUACCAAGCUCUUGGAGCUUGCCUAAGGCCAUAAAGGGCCUUUGAUAGUUUGAAAAUAUGAUUUGGAAAAUCUUUAUGUUCAAAAUCGGGGGGUUGUGUCAUAUACACUUCUCUAUCAAUAAAGCCAUUAAGGAAAGCACAUUUAACAUCCAUUUGAAACAUUUUGAAACCCUUAUGGGCAGCAUAGGCAAGAAGCAACCUAAUUGCUUGCAUUCUAGCUACCGGCGCAAAAGACUCAUCAAAAUCUAUACCCUCUUCUUGAUCGUAACCUUGGGCCACUAAUCUAGCCUUGUUACGAACAACUUGUCCAUCCUCACCAAGUUUAUUUUUAAACACCCACUUAGUACCCGUAACUUUCUUACCAUCCGGAUGUGGUACUAGUGUCCAAACCUCAUUCUUGUCAAAUUGAGCAAGCGCUUCUUGCAUGGCUUUGACCCAUGAUGGAUCUUCAAGAGCUUGUCUUACAUUGUUGGGUUCCAUUUGUGACAAGAGAGCAAAGUUGCUUGGUUCGGAUUGUCUUUUGGUUGAGGAUCUUGUUGUAACACCUUGAGAGGGGUCACCAAUGAUAAAGUCAUGAGGAUAGCCUCUCAUAGACUUCCAUUCCCUGGGCUUCUGUAGUGGUGUUGUGCUUUGAUGAGCUUCUGGGGGUCUCACUGUUUCAAAUUCUCGUGCUGGCUCAAGAGACAAAAUGGAAAUGUCUCCUCCAAUCUGACGAGACAAAACUGAACUGGCAGAUUCUUCAUUUUGAGCAGAUUUGGAAUUUUCUUUACUUGUUCUAGCUUCUUCACAAUCUGAAUCAUUAUCUAUCACAGAACUGGGAAUUAAAUUAGAAUCACAAAAAGUAACAUGUAUGGAUUCCUCUAUGGUCCUAUGUUCUUUGAGAUAAAUCCUAUAGGCCUUGCUAGUGGUGGAGUAUCCAACAAAAUUCCUUCAUAUGAUUUUGGAUCAAAUUUGCCAAGGUUUUCUUUAUUGUUAAGUAAAAAGCAUUUGCAUCCAAAAAUAUGAAAAUACUUAAGAUUUGGGGGGGUUCCUUUCCAUAGCUCAUAGGGAGUUUUCUUUAACCCUUUUCUAAUAAUUGUCCUAUUCAAAAUAUAACAAGCUGUAUUUACAGCUUCUGUCCAUAAAAAUUUUGGAAUCUCAUUCUCACAAAGCAUGGCCCUAGUCAUUUCUUGAAAGCUUCUAUUCCUUCUCUUAACCACCCCAUUUUGUUGAGGGGUUCUAGGGCAUGAAAAGUUAUGAGCAAUUCCAAAGUUAUCACAGAAUUUUUCAAAGUCUUGGUUUUCAAAUUCUCUUCUGUGAUCACUUCUUAAAUGAGCAAUUUUUAAAUCCUUUUCAUUUUGAAUUUUCUUGCAAAGGAUUGAGAAAGCAUGAAAAGCAUCAUUUUUAUGAGCAAGAAAAAGUACCCAACCAAAUCUAGAGUAAUCAUCUACCACCACAAGACCAUAGUAUUUACCUCCUAAACUUUGAGUUCAUGUUGGACCAAAAAGAUCAAUGUGUAACAUCUCUAAUGGCCUUUUGGUUGAGAUUCCAUCUUUUGGUUUAAAAGAGGAUUUUACUUGUUUGCCCAAUUGGCAAGCAUUGCAAGUAAAAUCCUUAUCAAAUUUGAUAUUAGGAAUUCCUCUAACCAAAUUUUUCUUGACUAGCUUAGAAAUUUGGUACAUGCUAGCAUGACCCAACUUUCUAUGCCAUAGCCAUUUUUCAGAUUCAAGAAAGGUAAAACAUGUUAUAUUUUGUUCUUUCAAGUUCUCAAGAGUCAAUCCAUACACAUUAUUGCACCUUUUAGCUUCAAAUAAAAUAUCCCUAGAUUUUUCACACACAACCAAACACAUAAAUUUUCUAAAAGUAACUUCAAAACCUAGAUCACACAAUUGGCUAACACUAAGUAAAUUAUGUUUCAAACCAUUUACAAGAAGAAUAUCAUUUAUACAAGAUGAAAAGCUUUUACCAACUUUUCCAACAGCCACUAUCUUUCCUUUAGCAUCAUCACCAAAAGUGACAAAUCCUCCAUCAUAUUCAUCAAGCUUUAUGAAGAAGUUUGUCUUUCCGGUCAUAUGCCUAGAGCAUCCGCUGUCCAUAUACCACAUAUUUUCCUUCCGUUUGGAUGCUAGACAUACCUGUUCAACAUGGUCAGCCAUAAGACAUGGUUGAGGCAUAGUUUCGGUUUCUUCAUCAUCUUCUGCAUCAUUUUUCAGAUCUUCCCAUGAUGCCAUCAGUCCCUUUUUCUUUCCUUUCUUCGGCUUUUCUUCCUUCUUCAACUCAGGGCAGUCAGACUUGAAAUGGCUUAUUUCCUUACAGUUGUAGCAUGUCACCUUGCUGAGAUCUUUCUUCUAUUUUCUUGAGCUGCCUCAUUUGCCUCUCUCCUUGAGCUUUACCAUUUUCCUGAAUUUUUUGGUAAACAACACAAAUUCAUUUUCAGAAUCACUGGAUUCAUCAUCCAGGGGGUUAGUCACAGAUGUAAAAGCAAUCCCUUUCUUUUUUGAAUCCUUUUUUAAAUAAGUGUUUUCAAAAGCAAGAAGAUUUCCUCUCAAGUCAUCAUAUGUCAUGGAAUCAAGACCACUACUCUCAGAAAUUAUUAAUGCUUUUGUUUCCCACUCUUUUGUGAGACAUCUUAACACUCUUCUCACUAGCACAGAUUCAGGAUACUUGAUUCCCAUAGCAUCCAAGCCGACAAUGAUGAUGUUGAAGCGCUCAAACAGUUCAUCAAUAGAUUUUCCUUCCUUCAUUGCAAACUUUCAUACUCUCUGUUCAACAUGUCUAUCCUGGUCUUCUUUACAAUGGUGGUACCUUCAUGAGUCACUAGAAGUUUGUCCCAGAUUUCCUUUGCUGUUGUGCAUCGUGAUACCCGUCGAUACUCCUCGAAGCUGAUAGCACAGUUGAGCAAGUUGAUAGCCUUGGCAUUGAGCUCCACCUUCUUUCUAUCUUCUUCGGUCCAGCUUGCUUCUGGUUUAGGAGUGACAACUCCUUCAGCACUUGUGAUGGUUCGAUAUUGAGGACUUUCCAGGAUAAUCUUCCAAAGUCUGUAAUCCACUGCUUGCACAAAGAUCUUCAUUCUCUCCUUCCAAUAGGUUUAGUUUUUCCCAUUGAAAAGAGGAGGUCUAUUGCUUGAUUGUCCUUCGGUCAGGUUGUAGGACACCAUAUUUGAGCCAUUAUUUUCUGCCAUCUGGAUCUUUUCUCCAAGCUGCAAAGCUUGAUCUCUUUGAGAUCAAGCUCUGAUACCAAUUGAUGGUUUUUAGUGGCUAAGAGAAGGGGGUUGAAUCUUAGCCCCUUUUUUUCUUGACAAUACUUGCUGGUCUUUGAAACAGCUUCUGGAGACUUUUUGCCUUUUUUGUCUCAUCCUUAGCCACGAGACUUUUUCUUUUGUCUCGUACCCAGCUACGAGACUUUUCUUUUUGUCUCGUCGAUCAGCACAAGAUAUUUUCAGUUUUAUCUCCUAGGCAGCAGAAACAGAAAUGGAGUAGAAGAAGGAGAGAAUUACACCAAGAUAUAUCCUGGUUCAGCUGCUAAGUGCAAGGCAGCCUAUAUCCAGUCUCCAUCACAACAAUGAUGGAAUUUCACUAUAAUCAUUCUUGAUUACAAACACCAAUUUUCCCUAGGAACUACCCUUCUUAUCUGGGACAAGUCCAGAAUCUAAUCCCAAACUAAACUUGACUUGGUCACUGCCAAGCUUUCAACUGUAAAGUGCUAACCCAACUUACAAGGAGAUUUCCACAGAAUCAUGAAACACAACACAGAUCUACAAAGGACCUCUAAGGACAUCUAUGACUUUUCUUUUAAUUUUGUACUCUCUGCCUUUUUCUGCUCUAUGGCUUUUUCUUACAAACCUCACUGUUUGCCUUUUUUCAUGAGACUCAAGACAUGACAAAAUUAAACAGAAAAAUAUAAAACAUAAAAUAUUGAAGGAGAAGAACUUCUGUAAGCUUGGGGAGCUAUAGGAACUCUGUGCUCACUCUUUUUCUUAAAUCAAACCCUGACUGUUCACCCUUACUUAUAGGGAGAAGCCUCCAAGGUUGAAACCAAACAAACCAAGCCAAUCUUCUUCUUCUUCAACCAGAAUCGGUUCGGCCAGAGAGAGAGAAGAGAUAACCCAUACAAAACCCAACAUGCAAUUACCUCUAGUCCUUCUUUGGUCACCACUCUUCAUCAAUCCGAGCCCUUCAUCCUUACCUUGCUCUCCAAGAUGAACUUCUGGCCCUUGAUGCUUCAUGAUGAUGAUAGCUUCAUCUGCUCUAAUCUCUGCCUCUUCCAUCAUGUAGCCACUCUAGCUACCUCCUGUGGUGGCUGAGCAGAAUCAGAGACAAGCCAUCCCUCCAAGGAUCUUCUUCUCUGACCGAGAUCUUCUUCAACCAUUUUUAGUAUGGAGAAGUCAAGAUCUCAUCACAAAAUCUUACCACAAGUGAAUGAGAAUCUUAGCCACAGCAUACUUUUAGUUUUCUUUUUCUUGCCAUCAUUGUGAUGGUCUUGUUACUUGCAUCUUCAUCUCUUCGGUGUCUAGCCAUAGCCUCCAUGCUUUCUCUGUAAUGAUAUGACCGAAGGUAGAGGAGAGAGUAGAGAGAGAAAGGAGAAAAAGCAAAGCUAUGAGUAAUGAGUGUUAUUCAUAAAUAAAUUAAUUAAGAUCAACUCCCCAUGCUUUUGUGUAGUAGCGUGUAAGCCACAUUAAAACUAUCAGAUCACUUUUCUCUUUCUCUUUCAUAUUUCCAAUGCAAGUCAUUUCAAGUUUUAAUUGAAUUUGAAAUCCACCAAAACUUGAGGUGGGAUCCGUUGGAAACUUAGAACUUUGCUUUUCUUUCAUUGUAGAUUUCGGACCAAGUUUUGGUUUAGGUAGCAAAGAUUUAAUUGGGCUUGUAGCAACAAUAUUUCAAAUUGGCCCAUUUAUAAAAACUCUUCAGCCAACAAUCAUAUAACAAAUUUGCAUAAGGCUGAAUUUUGAUUUUGUUGGGCCUAGGAUCUUUUCUUUUCUUUUCGGCCCAAUUAACUACAAAUUGCUUCAGCCCCUCAAUUUAUCAUUUUUUUAUACCCAAGGCUGAAUAUAUGAAUUCAUGUUGGGCUGAUCAAUUUAUUUGGCCCAGCAGAAACCUGUAUCAACAAAAUUAUUAAUUAAACAAGUAUGAAUUAAUAUCAAGUUAAUAAUUUUGUAAAUAAUUAUGUUAAUAAUGUUUAGUCAUCACAAAAAUUAAUUUAGAGUUUUCCAAACUCAUCAAAUUAACUUAAUUUAAUAUAUAUAAAAAUAUUUUUAUAUAUUAUUAACUAAAUUAUUANNNNNNNNNNNNNNNNNNNNNNNNNAAACAAAAAAAAUUUAUUAAUCACAAUUUAUUUUUUCUUUUUAUAAUUAUAUGAUAUCUAUUAAUAUUAUUUUUAAAAUAAAUACUUAUAGUAUAUAAUAAUAGGUAAAGACUCAUAUAACUAUCUUUAUAUGAAGUUAAUAGUUGAAAAAUUUUAGAUGAUAUUUAGUCAAACUUGUUAAAUCAUCUAACGGUUCUUAAAUAUUAACUUCACAUGAAAAUAACUGUAUGUGAGUUUUCACCUAUAAUAAUAUAAUAAUACAAUAAAUAUAAACUAAUUAAUAAAGUAUUAAAAUUUAAAAAUGAUAAUUAUUUUUAGAAAACGUUUAGGGGCCAGCAACUUUUUCAAAUUCUGGCCAGCAUAUAACCAGCAAAGAAAAGUGAGCCAUUGGAUAAAAUCUCACACAAUUAAAAUCAUCAUUAAUAGCUAUUUGAUGAUUAUAAAUCAUAAAAAUUAAUGGCUUCUAACACUCUUAUUUUUAUAAAAACAAAAUAAAAAUACUUAUAAUAAAAAAAAUUAAAUUUUAUAUAAUUAUUUUAAUUUUAGCAACCACUCCCCUGUGCCAACAUAGAACUUCCCCUAAAAUAAUUGUUAAUUUUAUCGUAUACCUCUCAUAUGAAAAGGAUAUAAUCUUUUUUAUAUAUAUAAUAUUUAGAUUAAGAUCAGUUUGAUUUUGAUGCCAUUUUCUCCCUCUGGUGGGUGUAUAAAUACAUGAACUUCCCCCACUGGCAAUCAUCAAAACCAUUCGAAGCCACUAGUACUUAAUAUUGAAAAUCCUCACUCAAAUAACUCUCCCUCCCACCAUGAAACCAUUUUAUGCUCUUCUUACUUUCUUCCUCUUGCUUGUAGUAGCAAGUAAGAAGGUGAACUCAGCAUCCGAAACUGAAACAGUUUCCUUCAACUUCAACUCUUUCGCCCAAGGUAACCCCGCAAUAAAUCUCCAAGGCGACGCCACCGUUCUUUCCGACGGCAAUGUACAACUCACCAACGUCAAAAGUUCCUAUAGCGCCGGGCGUGUCCUGUAUGGCACGCCCGUGCGCCUUUGGGACAAAGCCACCGGCAAUGUUGCCAGCUUCGUCACCUCGUUCUCUUUCCAGCUGACGGAUCUGCAAGGUUAUAAUGCGGCCGACGGUAUUAUUUUCUUCGUUGCACCGGAAGAUACGCAGAUUCCGUCCGGCGGAGUUGGCGGCACCUUAGGGGUUGCAAGCUCUAACGGCGUCGGUCAAUUUGUUGGUGUAGAAUUUGAUUCCUACUCCAACUCUGAGUUCAAGGAUCCACCCUAUCAACACGUUGGAAUCGAUGUAAACACUCUGGUUUCGUCCAAGACUGUGGAAUGGAAAAGAGUGAGUGGGUCGGUGGUGAAAGUGACUGUGAUCUAUGACUCUCCAUCAAAGACAUUGAGUGUUGCUGUGAUCAAUGAGAGUGGCGAUAUUAAUACCAUCGCUGAUGUUGUUGAUUUGAAGGCGAAGCUUCCGGAAAAGGUCAAGUUCGGGUUUUCAUCUGCUUCGUCGGUUGGCGGUCGUCAGAUUCAUCUCAUCCGUUCAUGGUCUUUCAUUUCAACCUUGAAGACAACAACAAGCAUCAGCAGCAAUGGAACAAUAAUGGAUAUUGCAACCGCAUGAUUUGGUCUACGCUAACUAGUACUACUUUAAAAUAAAGAAACAGACCAUAUGUGUGUAUCAGUAUCGACUGUGUCUGUGCGUGUACGGUUCCAUAUAUAUUUUCACUAAUCAACUUGUGGUUGGACCGUUGAUUAUUUAAAUAACAACUUUGUGAGAGAACUUGGUGCAUUUAAUUGUAGCUAAUUAGUAAUUUUUUUUAUUUUUUUAAAAGAACAUGAAUUUAAACUAUUAUAAAAAAUACUUAAAAUUAAAUAAAAAUCUAAAAUUUAAAAAAUAUUUGCUCGGUUAACUUACAUUUUAACUUAUCAAGAAACCAACCCAGGUCAACUUGCUUGGUUAAGUAAGUGUUGUAGAUUUCAAUUUUGCUUUGUGCAUGCAGCAAACUUUAAAUAGAGUUUCGAGCCACGAAUUAAUUUUUGACCUAUUGAACUGUGGGAUACCAUGGACAACAAAAAAAACUUAUCAAGCGAAGCGACACUUUUCUAAUUUACCAUAUGUACAUAUCAGUCACAUUUUGGACACGUACAAAUUUGAAUAAAAUUGAUUUUUUUAUUAUAAUAACAAUAAAUUCAAUUUUUUUUUUAGAAAUUUAAUUAUAUUUUUAAAUUUUUAGGAAUUUAAAUAUCCACAAAACAAAAAGUUAGGGAUAUAUUUAUCUUUUUAUCAAAAAAUUUAAAAAUAUUCUAUUUAGAUUGUAUAAUUCGAUCCGAUCAAAUUGGUUCUAAUAAUUAUAAUGCAAACCAUUGAAUUUAUUAUUGUUACUAUAAUAAAUCGAUUUUGUUCUAAUUUAUUAAAAAAUAAAUUAUUAACCAAUUUAAUAAAGAUAUCUAAUAAUAAAAUAACACAUAUAAAUGUCUUUAAAAAAAAUAUUUUAAAUGUGUUUAUUAAAGUGGUCUCCAUCUAUUAAUGCUUGUGCAUCAUAAAUUCUAACUAAUUUUUUAUUUGUAUAGUUCUUAAUUUUUUAUUAGUCAUGACUCAUGAGGACUAAUCUUUUAAAUAGGACCCAGCCAUAUGCCGAAGUUUUGAAUGUUAAGACCUAGUUACUAUAAAUAAAUGUUAAAAACUUAAAAUACAUAUUCUAAGCGACUACCUCUGAUAAGUAGGAUAAAAUCUAAAAAAAUAUGCAUACAUAAUUAUUGAAGAAUAUUAGAUCAUAAAAUUUAUUAAUUUUUGGUUAUUAGUUAAUCGUUAAUAUUUAAAAGUAUGGGAUAAAAUAUAUUUUUUUGUUGUUUACGAUAUUUUUCAAUCUGAACUGAUCAUUCGACCAGUCCAAGUUAGUUAUGGGAUAAAGUAUUUUUUUAUCAAAGAUAGGAGACUCGAACCCGCAACCUCUUAAUUGAGUAUAGAAAGACUAUGUCAUUUGAGCUAUGAUGAUUUCAGUGGCUAAGAGAAUGGGGAGUUGAAUCUUAGCCCCCUUUUUUUUGGUUGCUAAUACUUGCUGAACUCAGAGGAGACUUUUCUGUUUUAGCUCGUCUCUGGACACGAGACUUUUUCUUUUGUCUCGUCCCUAGCCACGAGACUUUUCGUUUUGUCUCGUCACUUAGCACGAGACAUUUUUAGUUUUUGCUCCUGUGCAGUAGAAAACAGAAAUGGAGUAGGAGAGAAGAAAGAUUACACCCAGAUAUAUCCUGGUUCAGCUGCUAAGUGCAGUGCAGCCUACAUCCAGUCUCCAUCACAACAAUGAUGGAAUUUCACUAUAAUCAACUUGAUUACAAACUGUAAAGUGCUAACCCAACUUACAAGGGGAUUCCCACAGAAUCAUGAAACACAACAUAGAUGAACAAAGGAACUCUAAAACAUCUAAGGCUUUUUCUUUUAAUUUUGCACUCUCUGCCUUUUUUCGCUCUAUGGCUUUUUCAUACAAACCUCACUGUUUGCCUUUUUCCAUGAGACUCAAGACAUGACAAAAUUAAACAGAAAAAUACUAAACAGAAUACAUUGAAGGAGAAGAAAAUCUGUAAGCUUAGGUAGCUCUGAGAAUCCUGUGCCUUGCACUCUCACUGCUUACUUCUAACUCCUUGCUCCAAACAGUGGCUGUUCUCUCUUUUUAAAGAAGAGGGAAGCCUCCACACUUGAAGCCAACACCCAAACCAACUUCUUUCUCCUUCAACAAACAGAACCGGUUCGGCCACAUAGAGAGAGAAGAGAUAAUCAUGCAAAACCCAACAUACAAUUACCUCUAGUCCUUUCUUGAUCAUCACCCUUCAUCAAUCCGAACUCUCCAUCCUUGACUUGCUCUCCAAGAUGAAUUUCUGGCCCUUGAUGCUUCAUGAUGAUAAUGACUUCAUCUGCUUCAAUCUCUGCCUCAACCAUCACUUCGCCACUCUAGCUACUUCCUGUGGUGGUUGAGCAGAAUCAAAGACAAGCCAUGCUUCAAGAAUCUCCCUUGCUGGCCGAAUCUUCAUCGUCCAUUUUUGAGCAUGAAGAGCUCAAGAUUACUUCACCAAAUCUAACCAUAUUUGGUGAAAAUCUUAGCUACAGCUCAUUUUUAUUUUAGUAUGUUUUCUUGCCAUCAUUAGCUUGAUGGUCUUGAUGCAUGCAGCUUCAUUUCGGUAGCUCCAUAUAGCUUCCAUGGCUUCCUUUAUUUUCUAGAUAUUGACCGAAAAGAAGAAAGAGAUGAGAGAGAAUAAACAACUUAAAAUAAAAGCAAUUCAAAUGUAAUAAACCAAUUAGUUGGUGAAAGUUGCUUUUACUUCCCUAGCUUAGAGUGGCGUGCAGCACUAUGGCCAUCAAUCAAUUCAGCUGCAACUUUCUCUCUCAUAGUUCCCAUGCAUUAAAUGACAAUGUAAUGAAUUUUGGAAUCCAUCACAUGGUGAAGUGCUUGGAUCCGUUGAAAGCAAUUUUUGCUUUCUUUAUCAUGGAUUUCGGAUCAUGCAUGAGGAACUUCUCAUUAAAUGUGAAAUUGGGCUUAGUUGCAACAACAUUUAAUUUCUGGCCCAAUAAUAACAUUUGCUUUCCUGAUGAAAUUUGGAUCAAGCAUUGAACAUAUAGGAAAGCUUUGCUUAUAGUAACAAAAUUUAUUCUGGCCCAACUGAUAAAACCUUUUCAGCCAACAAUCACAAAACAAGAAUUACAUAGGGCUGAAUUUUAAUUUAUUGGGCUUGGGAUCUUUCUUUUUAUUUCGGCCCAAUUAUAAAACCUGCAACACAAAAUUAUUAAUUAAUAUAUGUUAGAUGAGAAAUCAAAAUUAAUAAUUUUGUUUAAUAAUGUUUAGUCAUCACAAAUAUUAAUUUGGAGUUUUCCAAACUCAUCAAUCUCCCCCUUGAUGACAAACAUUUAAAAUUGAAAUGGGAAUUUUUUUUUUUUUUAAAAAUUGAGUAAAGAAUACUCCCUUUGAAGAUUGAAUUUCUCCCCCUUUCUAAAUGUCACAUGGCUCCCCCUUGAUGUAUGCUUAUUUUACUAAGGGAAGCACUAACCUGUAACAUUUUAAUCAAGCUUCAAGAACAAUGUUAUUUAGCAUAUUAUAUGAUGCUAAAUGCUUGAUUUAUGAGCAAUUUUAAAUUGAUAAUCAAAACUCAUUUGAUAUCAUAAACUGAUUUACUGCUCAAACUUUUUACACACACCAAUCAACAAGAAAGUUUAUUCAAAUAUUUUUCUAAACAAGAUAUCAGAGCAUUAUUAUGGUAAGAAAAAUAUUUGAAGCACAUAUGGUCAAAAACAUGGCAGUUUUUUUAUGCUUUCCAUGGUUUAAAGGAACUGUCAAAAAAAUUAAGCAUAUUAACCAAGAUGAAAACAGAGUUUUAAUCAUGCGUAUACAUUCAUCACGGUUAAUUAUCAACCAUUCUUCAUAAAACAAAUGCAUUGUCAACUCAUUAUUAAACAAUAUCAGCAAACACAAUGCAGUUUCAAUAUUAUCAUCAAGCAAAUCAGCAAACACAAUGCAGUUUCAAUAUUAUCAUCAAGCACCAAAUAUAACAAGGGUGAUCAUAAAUUUUCAACAAAAAAUUUCAUCCCCUGUUUUCUAUUUUCUCCUCCCCUGUUUUUCAUAUUUCAAUUUUCAGCUUUUCUCCCCUGUUUUCUAUUUUCUCCUCCCCUAUUUUUCAUAUUUCAAUUUUCAGCUUUUCUCCCCCUUUUGUCAUCAAAGGGGCAUUAUGUACUCGGUUGUGUGAGCCGCUUUGGGGAGUUAAAAUAUGGGUGAUGAUUCGGUGAAGCAGAGAAUUGACUGGUCCUAGAGCUUUGUGGGUUGGAAUCGUUCCAUGCAAGCCAGAAAGAUUCUCGCAGAUGUGCUGAAGAACUGCUUUGUAUGAAACACCGACUUGUAUAUCCCAUUUGUCUACCAUAUACGCUCGCGGUCCUUCAUCCUUGAAGCCCAGGGUCGCUCCAAUGGUCUCAGAAUCAAGGGCUAUUUGAACCCUUUUGACAUAGGAAUGAAGAGUGCUGUCAAUGAGCCGCAUAUUGGCGUAGAACUCUCGGACUAGGCCAGGAUAGACUGGUUUCUGAAUGAGAAGAAGGGGCUUCCAGUUUAGGAGUUCAAACAGAGAGGAGAUGUUGAUGCCCUUGUUAGUGAGAGUGUCGAGAUUCACAAGGUAGGUUGUACAUAGAUGACGUUUUUCCAUAACCUCAUUGUGAAACUCAAAGGAAGUACAAGAGUUGAAUCUGCUAGGAUCAAAGUGGGAGUGAGUCUUGCCAUACUUGUUUCUGAAUUCCAGGGAUUCCAAAUUUGGAGGUUCGGUUGUGUCGUGAAGAGCAAAACCCUUAGUCUUUUGAGUACUCUUUCCGGAUGCAUGAGGAGUUGAUCUCUUUGGUGGUGAUUGUGGAGGGGAAGGGAUAGGAGAAGUAUGAGACUCUUCUUCUUCUGCCACGGGAACACUUUUCUUCUUCCUUGAGAAAGUUUUUGUGGCAAUGACCUUUCUUCUCAUUGCGUCUGUGCGUUUUGAAGGAGGUGAGGGUGAUGAAGAUGAUGUAGAAUGGAUGUGAAUGUGUGUGUGAGAUUGUGGAGUAGACUGUUUUUCAGAGAAUAGGAGCCUUUCACUUUUUCUUGGCGCGGUUUUCUUUUUCAUGGUGAUGGGAGAAAACCGAAUAUGAAAGGUUGGUGAGGUAACUGAAUGAGUGGGGAAGAAGGAAGGUGAGAGACACAUUAAAUGAGGAUUGGAGAGAGAAUUUGGUGGAAGUAAUGACCAUUAGUGAGCGGUUAAUGACCAUUAUGGAGAGGUUAUUACUCAAAAAUGAUUUUUCUUUUAAUUUUUGAAAUCUAAAACUGAAAAGUUGUUGCCUUAAAUCAAGGGAUUAGAUGGAGAGAGGGAUUUGAUUUGACAAUAACCACUUCCAAUAGGAUAUGAUGACAUAAGGAAGAAGAUUCUUAUUUGCAUAGAGAGAUAACUAACAAAAUUGUUAAGGUGGGGUCAAGAAAUUUUGGUGGGGCCCAUAAAAUUUUGAACUCUGCGUUGCCUCCCCCUUGACCACAGCUCCUUUAUGUAUUUUAUCUCGUCCAAACCUACGAGACAAAACUGGACAGUGUUAAAAAAUUCAAGAAUUUUCAAUGAAACUUAAAUCAAACAUUCCCAAACUUUUUUCUUAAGCUACAGAAUCUGUCUUCAUAGAGGAGUUUUGUAAAAAUAUCAGCAAUUUGGUCUUCAGAUUUUACAAAUUGAAUAUCAAUAGUUCCCUUUUGUACAUGUUCCCUAAUAAAGUGAUAUUUUAUCUCAAUGUGCUUUGUUCUUGAGUGCAAAACAGGAUUUUUUGAAAUGUUUAUAGCACUCAUAUUAUCACAAAAUAAGGAUAUACUAUUGAUUUUUAAUUUGUAAUCUUCUAAUUGUGUUUUUAACCAAAUUAAUUGAGUGCAACAUGCAGAUGCGAAAAUGUAUUCUACUUUAGCAGUGGAUAAAGCCACUGUGGCUUGUUUCUUGCUUGACCACAUGUUGAGUGAGCUUCCAAGGAAGCAACACAUGCCGGACGUGCUUCUUCUAUCCACUCUAUCUCCCGCAUAAUCUGCAUCACAAAAUCCUACUGCACAAAAGUCAUCAGAUUUAGGAUACCAUAAUCCAUAAUCACAAGUUCCCUUAAUAUAUCUAAUGAUGCGCUUAACAGCCGUGAGAUGGGAUUCUUUUGGGUGAGAUUGGAACCUUGAACAUACACCCACACUUUGGACAAUGUCCGGUCUAGAGGAGGUAAGGUACAUGAGUGAACCUAUCAUUCCCCUAUACCUUGUUUCAUCCACAUUUUGACCAUCAUCAUCCUUUUCAAGUUUUGUGUUGGGAUGCAUUGGUGUACCCAUUGCUUUGGAAUUUUCUAGGCCAAACUUUUUAGUAAGUUCUUUUGCAUAUUUUCCUUAGUAAAUAAAAGUAUCACUAGGAGUUUGUUUAAUUUGGAGGCCAAGAAAGAAAGUAAGCUCUCCCAUUAAACUCAUUUCAAACUCACUAGUCAUGAGUUUUCUAAACUCUUCACACAAGGAAAUGUUGGCCGAUCCAUAUACAAUAUCAUCAACAUAAACUUGAACAAGGAGUAUGUCAUCAUUAGAUGCUUUAAUAAAUAAAGUAGUGUCGGUGGUACCCCUUUGAAAUUGAUUUUCCAACAAGAAGGCACUAAGCCUUUCAUACCAAGCUCUUGGAGCCUGUCUAAGACCAUAAAGAGCUUUAGUUAAUUUGAAAACAUGAUUUGGAAACUCUUUUUGUUCGAAACCGGGGGGUUGUGUCACAUACACUUCUCUAUCAAUAAAGCCAUUAAGGAAAGCACACUUAACAUCCAUUUGAAACAUUUUGAAACCUUUAUGGGCGGCAUAGGCAAGAAGCAAUCUAAUUGCUUCCAUUCUAGCUACCGGAGCAAAAGACUCAUCAAAAUCUAUACCUUCUUCUUGAUCAUAACCUUGGGCCACUAAUCUAGCCUUGUUACGAACAACUUGUCCAUCCUCACUAAGUUUAUUUUUAAAUACCCACUUAGUACCCGUUACCUUCUUACCAUCCGGAUGAGGUACUAAUGUCCAAACCUCAUUCUUGUCAAAUUGAGCAAGUUCCUCUUGCAUGGCCUUGACCCAUGAUGGAUCUUCAAGAGCUUGUUUAACAUUGUUGGGCUCCAUUUGUGAUAAGAGAGCGAAGUUGCUAGGUUCAGUUUGCCUUUUGGUGGAGGAUCUUGUUGUUACACCAUGAGAGGGAUCACCAAUGAUGAAGUCAUGAGGAUAUCCCCUCAUAGACUUCCAUUCUCUAGGCUUUCGGACAGGUGUAGAGCUUUGAUGAGCUUCUGGUGGUUUCACUGUUUCAGUUGCUCGUGUCUGCUCAGGAGACAAAAUGGAAAUUUCUCCUCUAAUCUGACGAGACAAAACUGGACUGACAGAUUCUUCAUUUUGAACAGAUUUGGAAUUUUCUUUGCUUGUUCCAGCUUCUUCACAAUCUGAAUCAUUAUCUAUCACAGUACUGAGAAUUAAGUUAGAAUCACAAAAAGUAACAUGUAUGGAUUCCUCUAUUGUCCUAUGCUCCUUGAGAUAAACUCUAUAGGCCUUGCUUGUGGUGGAAUAUCCAACAAACAUUCCUUCAUAGGAUUUUGGAUCAACCUUUCCAAGGUUUUCUUUAUUAUUAAGCACAAAACAUUUGCAUCCAAAAACAUGAAAAUACUUAAGAUUUGGAGGGGUUCCUUUCCAUAGCUCAUAAGGGGUUUUCUUUAAUCCUUUUCUAAUGAUUGUUCUAUUCAAAAUAUAACAUGCUGUGUUCACAGCUUCAGCCCACAAAAAUUUAGGAAUUUCAUUCUCACAUAGCAUAGCCCUAGUUAUCUCUUGAAGGCUUCUAUUCCUUCUUUCAACCACCCCAUUUUGUUGGGGGUUCUAGGGCAUGAAAAGUUAUGAANNNNNNNNNNNNNNNNNNNNNNNNNNNNNNNNNNNNNNNNNNNNNNNNNNNNNNNNNNNNNNNNNNNNNNNNACAAGUAAGAUCCUUAUCAAACUUGAUGUUUGGAAUUCCUCUAACCAAAUUUCUUUUGACUAGCUUAGAAAUUUGAUACAUACUAGCAUGUCCCAACUUUCUAUGCCAAAGCCAUUUUUCAGAUUCAAAAGAUGUAAAGCAUGUUACAUUUUGUUCCUUUAAAUCCUCAAGAGUUAAUCCAUACACAUUGUUGCAUCUUUUAGCUUCAAGAAGAACAUUCCCAGUUUUCUUACAAACAACUAAACAAACAAACUUCUUAAAAAUAACUUCAAAACCUAAAUCACAUAGUUGACUAACACUAAGUAAAUUAUGUUUCAAGCCAUGUACAAGGAGAACAUCAUUUAUACAAGUUGAGAAAUUUUUACCCACUUUCCCAACAGUCACAAUUUUUUCUUUUGCAUCAUCACCGAAAGUGACAAGCCCUCCAUCAUAUUCAUCAAGCUUUAUGAAGAAGGUUGUCUUUCCGGUCAUAUGCCUAGAGCAUCCGCUGUCCAUAUACCACAUAUUUUCUUUUCUUUUGGAUGCUAGGCAUACCUACAAAAACAAGCUUAAGUAACCUUAGGUAUCCAAAUCCUUUUGGAUCCUUUUACGUUAAACUAUCUUCUAUGUCAUAAGCCAUUGUAAUAAAAAACAAUUUUAUAAACCUUAUCACCGACCAUUCUUUCACCAAAAAAGCAUUGAAUGGGAAAGUGUCCAUUCCUAUUGCAUAGUCUACAAAAUCUUGGAGUUGCUGUUUUGUUAAAGUAGGUGGGAUCUUGAAAUCUUGUAUUAUUAGAAGAUGAAGUAAUAUUUUCGAAAUGUGAUUUUUCAGAUUUAUAGAACCCCAACCCAGCCUUAUCAUAAAGAGAUUUUUGACUAGCCAAGAUGUGAUUCAGAUUUUCGGAACUUUGGGUGAACUUGGCUAAGUCUUCCUUAAGUCUUUUAACCUCUUUAAGCAACUCUUUAUUUUGCUUAAAACAAUCUACAUAUGCAAGAACAUAAUGGUUAUUUUCACAGCUUCUAACUUGGGCUCUUAACUGCUUAUUUUCUUCAACAAGAUCACAAGCAGUUUCGGCCUCUCUUACUUUUUCUUUUAGAAAACUGUUUUCAGCCUUAAGAAUGGUAAUUUGUUGUUCAAGUUCUUGAUUUUCCAGCAGAAAACAUCUUAUUUUUUCAGAAAGGUGGUCUAUCAUAAGAUGAAGAUCUUCAGUAUUAGGGUUAUGAAAGACUACCUGAUCUAUGUGGUCUGCCGUGAGACAUGUUUGUGACUUGGUCUCAGUUUCUUCAUCAUCAUCAUCAUCGGAGUCAUUCUCCAAGUCUUCCCAUGAGGCCAUUAGUCCUUUCUUCUUUCCUUUUUUUGGUUUUUCUUCCUUCUUUAACUUGGGACAAUCAGAUUUGAAAUGCCCCAUUUCCUUGCAGUUGUAGCAAGUCACUUUGCUAAGGUCUUUCUUCACUCUCCUUGAGCUGCUGCCUUUGCUUUUGAGCUUAGCCAUUUUUCUGAAUUUUUUUGCAAACAACACAAACUCAUUUUCAGAAGAGUUAUCAAUGGAUUCUUCAUCCAGAGGGUUAGUCAUAGAAGAAAAAACAAUUCCUUUCUUUUUUGAAUCUUUUUUCAAAUAGGUGUUUUCAAAAGCAAGAAGAUCUCCUCUCAAAUCAUCAACUGUCAUGGAAUCUAAGCUACUGCUCUCAGAAAUAAUUAAAGCUUUAGUUUCUCACUCUUUUGUGAGACAUCUCAACACUCUUCUCACUAGCACAGAUUCAGAGUGUGUAAUUCUCAGAGCAUCUAAGCCAACGAUGAUGGCAUUGAACUGUUCGAACAGUUCAUCAAUGGACUCUCCUUCUUUCAUUGCAAACAUUUCAUACUCUCUAUUCAACAUGUCUGUUCGAGUCUUCUUUACAAUGGUGGUUCCUUCAUGGGUGAUUUGCAAUUUGUCCCAGAUUUCCUUUGCCGUUGUGCAUCUUGAUACCCGUCGGUAUUCCUCGAAACUGAUAGCACAAUUGAGUAAGUUUACUGCCUUGGCAUUUAACUCCACCUUCUUCCUAUCUUCCUCUGUCCAGCUUGCUUCUGGUUUGAGAGAAACAACUCCUUCGGCACUUGUAACAGUUGGAUAUUGAGGUCCUUCCAAGAUUAUUUUUCACAGUCUGUAAUCCACUGCUUGUACAAAUAUCUUCAUCCUCUCCUUCCAAUAGGUAUAAUUUUUCCCAUUGAAAAGAGGGGGUCUAUUGCUUGAUUGACCUUCAGUAAGAUUAUAGGACACCACAUUUGCACCACUGUUUUCCGCCAUAAGGAUCUUUACUCCAAGCUGCAAAGUUUGAUCUCUUUGAGACCAAGCUCUGAUACCAAUUGAUAGUUUCAGUGGCUAAGAGAAGGGGGGGGAUUGAAUCUUAGCCCCCUUUUUUUUGGUUGCUAAUACUUGCUGAACUCAGAGGAGACUUUUCUGUUUUAGCUCGUCUCUGGACACGAGACUUUUUCUUUUGUCUCGUCCCUAGCCACGAGACUUUUCGUUUUGUCUCGUCACUUAGCACGAGAUAUUUUUAGUUUUUGCUCCUUUGCAGUAGAAAAUAGAAAUGGAGUAGGAGAGAAGAAAGAUUACACCCAGAUAUAUCCUGGUUCAGCUGCUAAGUGCAGUGCAGCCUACAUCCAGUCUCCAUCACAACAAUGAUGGAAUUUCACUAUAAUCAACUUGAUUACAAAUUGUAAAGUGCUAACCCAACUUACAAGGGGAUUCCCACAGAAUCAUGAAACACAACAUAGAUAAACAAAGGAACUCUAAGACAUCUAUGGUUUUUUCUUUUAAUUUUGCACUCUCUGCCUUUUUCCGCUCUAUGGCUUUUUCAUACAAACCUCACUGUUUUUCUUUUUCCAUGAGACUCAAGACAUGACAAAAUUAAACAGAAAAAUACUAAACAAAAUACAUUGAAGGAGAAGAAAAUCUGUAAGCUUAGGUAGCUCUGAGAAUCCUGUGCCUUGCACUCUCACUGCUUACUUCUAACUCCUUGCUCCAAACAGUGGCUGUUCUCUCUUUUUAAGGAAGUGGGAAGCCUCCACACUUGAAGCCAACACCCAAACCAACUUCUUUCUCCUUCAACAAACAGAACCGGUUCGGCCACGUAGAGAGAGAAGAGAUAAUCAUGCAAAACCCAACAUGCAAUUACCUCUAGUCCUUUCUUGAUCAUCACCCUUCAUCUAUCCGAACUCUCCAUCCUUGGCUUGCUCUCCAAGAUGGAUUUCUGGCCCUUGAUGCUUCAUGAUGAUAAUGACUCCAUCUGCUUCAAUCUCUGCCUCAACCAUCACUUCGCCACUCUAGCUACUUCCUGUGGUGGUUGAGCAGAAUCAAAGACAAGCCAUGCUUCAAGAAUCUCCCUUGCUGGCCGAAUCUUCAUCGUCCAUUUUUGAGCAUGAAGAGCUCAAGAUUACUUCACCAAAUCUAACCAUAUUUGGUGAAAAUCUUAGCUACAACUCAUUUUUAUUUUAGUAUGUUUUCUUGCCAUCAUUAGCUUGAUGGUCUUGAUGCAUGCAGCUUCAUUUCGGUAGCUCCAUGUAGCUUCCAUGGCUUCCUUUAUUUUCUGGAUAUUGACCGAAAAGAAGAAAGAGAUGAGAGAGAAUAAACAACUUGAAACAAAAGCAAUUCAAAUGUAAUAAACCAAUUAGUUGGUGAAAGUUGCUUUUACUUCCCUAGCUUAGAGUGGCGUGCAGCACUAUGGCCAUCAAUCAAUUCAGCUGCAACUUUCUCUCUCAUAGUUCCCAUGCAUUAAAUGACAAUGUAAUGAAUUUUGGAAUCCAUCACAUGGUGAAGUGCUUGGAUCCGUUGAAAGCAAUUUUUGCUUUCUUUAUCAUGGGUUUCAGAUCAUGCAUGAGGAACUUCUCAUCAAAUGUGAAAUUGGGCUUAGUUGCAACAUUUAAUUUUUGGCCCAAUAAUAACAUUUACUUUCCUGAUGAAAUUUGGAUCAAGCAUUGAACAUAUAGGAAAGCUUUGCUUAUAGUAACAAAAUUUAUUCUGCUCCAACUAAUAAAACCUUUUCAGCCAACAAUCACAAAACAAAAAUUAUAUAGGGCUGAAUUUUAAUUUAUUGGGUUUGGGAUCUUUCUUUUUAAUUCGGCCCAAUUAUAAAACCUGCAACACAAAAUUAUUAAUUAACAUAUGUUAGAUGAGAAAUUAAAAUUAAUAAUUUUGUUUAAUAAUGUUUAGUCAUCACAAAUAUUAAUUUGGAGUUUUCCAAAUUCAUCAAACUAUAAAAUAAUUAAAUUAAAAACUAAGUAAUGAUAAAAAUAAUAGAUUCUGAUGAUCCUAACAUUUUUAUAAUUGCUUUUUAGUGUGAAUAAUAAAAAAAGAAAUUGAGAUGGAAAAAAAGGGAUUUAUAUAUUAAAAAAAAUGUGAAACUAAACCUUUAUUGUUCACAUCCAAAAUUAAUAGAGAGGAAGAGUACACUCAAAUGGGUAUACAUCUGUGUGUGUGUGGCAUAGCAAUAGUAUUGAGCAAUUAAUUUCAUGUCCAAUAAUAACUACUAGUAUGAAUAUGAUACACCAUCCAAUAUGCAUAUUUAUACUUGGGUAGUGUGAGACUGUGAGGUGGCAUUGUUAAGCCCUGAGGUGUUGCCUUCCCAUGCUGCAUGAUAUACUCAGUUCUGGUAUACUUUUGAUGGCCUGAUGCAUGCAAAUUCAACUUUUUCCUCUAUAAAUACACGAACGAAAUCCCAGUUGUAAUCAUCAAAACCAUUCCAAACCAAUCCUUAUCAACCUCCCACUGCACCAUGAAACCAUUUUGUGUUUUUCUUACUUUCUUUCUCUUGCUAGCAGCAAGUAGUAAGAAGGUGAACUCAGCGGAAACAGUUUCCUUCAACUUCAACUCUUUCAGCGAAGGAAACCCCGCAAUAAAUUUCCAAGGUGACGUCACUGUUCUUUCAAAUGGCAAUAUACAACUCACGAACCUCAACAAGGUAAAUAGCGUCGGCCGUGUUCUUUAUGCCAUGCCGGUGCGCAUUUGGAGCAGUGCCACCGGCAAUGUCGCCAGCUUCCUCACCUCCUUCUCUUUCGAGAUGAAGGAUAUCAAAGAUUAUGAUCCUGCCGACGGUAUCAUCUUUUUCAUUGCACCGGAAGAUACGCAGAUUCCUGCCGGCAGUAUUGGUGGUGGAACCUUAGGCGUCUCUGACACUAAAGGGGCGGGUUACUUUGUUGGAGUGGAGUUUGAUACCUAUUCCAACAGUGAGUACAACGAUCCACCCACUGAUCACGUUGGAAUUGAUGUAAACAGUGUGGAUUCGGUGAAGACCGUGCCAUGGAAUAGUGUGAGUGGAGCAGUGGUUAAAGUGACUGUGAUAUAUGACUCUUCAACAAAGACAUUGAGUGUUGCUGUGACCAACGACAACGGCGAUAUUACCACCAUUGCUCAAGUUGUUGAUUUGAAGGCGAAGCUUCCGGAGAGGGUCAAGUUUGGUUUUUCUGCCUCCGGCUCCCGUGCCGGUCGUCAGAUACAUCUCAUCCGUUCAUGGUCUUUCACUUCAACCUUGAUAACAACAACCAGAAGAAGCAUCGACAAUAACGAAAAGAAAAUAAUGAAUAUGGCAAGUGCAUGAUUUGGUUUCUACGUACGCUACCUAGUACUUUUAAAGAAAGACCAGACCUUUGUGUGUUAUCAACUUUGUUUGUUUGUGUUUAAUAAUUAGGUUGUAUGGUUCAAUAUUUCCACUAAUCAUGGUCUGACGGUUGACCGUUUAAAUAAAAUAACAGGUCCAGUUUGGUAUAGUUUUUGUGCAUGGAUUGUGGGUGUGAGAUUUUCGGUUGACUCUCAUUCAUCCUUUCACCAGGCCAAUUAUAUUAUGCCCAGAUUCAAUAAUAAAGUCUGAAAUAUUAAUUUAAUAAUUAUCAUGAGUAAAAAUUUUUAAUUUUAAUAAUGACAUAAUAAAUAUAUUAAAAAUUUAAAGUUUGCAUGUUUUCCAUAAAAAAUCAAUAAUAUUAAUAUGCUUGUUUUAAAGAAUCAAGCUACAUGUUUACUAAAUUUUUGAAAGAAAAAAAUUUAGAGAGCGAAUUAAAACAUAAGCCAAUUCAAAUCAAUUUUUUAUAUUUUUAGUGUUAANNNNNNNNNNNNNNNNNNNNNNNNNNNNNNNNNNNNNNNNNNNNNNNNNNNNNNNNNNNNNNNNNNNNNNNNNNNNNNNNNNNNNNNNNNNNNNNNNNNNNNNNNNNNNNNNNNNNNNNNNNNNNNNNNNNNNNNNNNNNNNNNNNNNNNNNNNNNNNNNNNNNNNNNNNNNNNNNNNNNNNNNNNNNNNNNNNNNNNNNNNNNNNNNNNNNNNNNNNNNNNNNNNNNNNNNNNNNNNNNNNNNNNNNNNNNNNNNNNNNNNNNNNNNNNNNNNNNNNNNNNNNNNNNNNNNNNNNNNNNNNNNNNNNNNNNNNNNNNNNNNNNNNNNNNNNNNNNNNNNNNNNNNNNNNNNNNNNNNNNNNNNNNNNNNNNNNNNNNNNNNNNNNNNNNNNNNNNNNNNNNNNNNNNNNNNNNNNNNNNNNNNNNNNNNNNNNNNNNNNNNNNNNNNNNNNNNNNNNNNNNNNNNNNNNNNNNNNNNNNNNNNNNNNNNNNNNNNNNNNNNNNNNNNNNNNNNNNNNNNNNNNNNNNNNNNNNNNNNNNNNNNNNNNNNNNNNNNNNNNNNNNNNNNNNNNNNNNNNNNNNNNNNNNNNNNNNNNNNNNNNNNNNNNNNNNNNNNNNNNNNNNNNNNNNNNNNNNNNNNNNNNNNNNNNNNNNNNNNNNNNNNNNNNNNNNNNNNNNNNNNNNNNNNNNNNNNNNNNNNNNNNNNNNNNNNNNNNNNNNNNNNNNNNNNNNNNNNNNNNNNNNNNNNNNNNNNNNNNNNNNNNNNNNNNNNNNNNNNNNNNNNNNNNNNNNNNNNNNNNNNNNNNNNNNNNNNNNNNNNNNNNNNNNNNNNNNNNNNNNNNNNNNNNNNNNNNNNNNNNNNNNNNNNNNNNNNNNNNNNNNNNNNNNNNNNNNNNNNNNNNNNNNNNNNNNNNNNNNNNNNNNNNNNNNNNNNNNNNNNNNNNNNNNNNNNNNNNNNNNNNNNNNNNNNNNNNNNNNNNNNNNNNNNNNNNNNNNNNNNNNNNNNNNNNNNNNNNNNNNNNNNNNNNNNNNNNNNNNNNNNNNNNNNNNNNNNNNNNNNNNNNNNNNNNNNNNNNNNNNNNNNNNNNNNNNNNNNNNNNNNNNNNNNNNNNNNNNNNNNNNNNNNNNNNNNNNNNCUUUUUUAGUUGAUUUUCUAAUGAAACUGUUUUUUAAAAAAAUAAAUAAAAUAUAUUGACAAAUAGUUAAAAGAAGAGAAUAAGUAUAAAAAUUAAUUAGGUAUAAUCUUACAAAAUAGUUUGUAACUUUUGUAAUUAACAUUUUUUCAAAGUAAAUAACUAUAUAAAGAUGAAAGAGCAUAUUUUUGCAAUUAGAUUAAGGAUUGAUGUGGUAAAUUGUUUACUUUUUAAAAAUACUGAAUUUAUCAAAAUUAUCACUUAAUUUUUUUAAAGUUGUAGUAUUUAUGUUAAUAUCAAACCAAAAAUAUUUUUAAUAAGUAUAAGUAAUAAAUUAGCGACCAAUUUAGUGACUAUCCACUCUUGGUCGCUAAAAUCGGUCGCUAUUUUUUAAUUUAGUGACUGAAUUAGUAAUCAAAACAAAAAAGGCUUUUUGGAUCCGUUGGUGACUAAAUCGGUCACUAUAUUUAAUUUAGCGACUGAUUUUAUAACCAAUAUAAAAACAGUCUUAAUAAUUGUUGGUCGCUAAAUCGGUCGCUAAGAAGUUGGUCACUAAAUCAGUUGCUAAGUGUUAAAAUAGCAACUAAUUUAGCGACUAAUUUUAAAAUGCUACUUUUAAAGUAGUUAAUCGCUAAAUCGGUUGCUAUUUUAUAAUUUAGCUACCGAAUUAGCAACCGAUAUAAAAAUAGGCUGAGAAAAUAGUUGGUCGUUAAUUCGGUCGCUAAGGUAGCGGUCGCUAAAUUGGUUGCUAAGGGAUAAUAUAGCAACCGAUUUUAGCGACCAACUAUAAAAUAUGGGAUUAGAGCAAUCGGUCACUAAAUCGGUCGCUAUUGUAAUUCUUAGUGACCGAAUUUGUAACCACUAAAAAAUAAGUUAUAAAUUAAUUGGUUGCUAAAUCGGUUAUUAUUUUUUUUUUGUUGACAAAUCGGUUUAUUAAACAAAUUAAAUUUUAAAAUAAAUUAAAAGAAAACAUCAUUUUUGAACCUUAAUUUACACUGAGCUCUCUCAUCACAGUGUCUCUCUCGCCGCCUCCCUUACUCUCCGGCGAGUCCUGGUCGGCGCCGUUCUUGUCAACGCCAUUCUCGUCGACGCCAUCUCGCCUCCUCGAUUCUUCGUCAGCGUCUGCCCCCUCGCUGCGUUCUUCCUCUGCUCGUUCAACCAUUGUCGCAGAUCGUCACAUCCGCGUCCAGAUCUGCGGUUGCUCGCAUCACGUCGUUCUUUUCUCAGCGCCCUCUCCUAAGGUAAAUUCUUCUCCGGUAACAAUAGCGUCGAUUUGGUUAUAUCUAUUAGGAUGUUAACUAAGCCUCUCUAAUCUAAUGUUGCUUAUCUAUUUCUCUGACUUUUUGUCUAUUAUGUGCUUUAAUUUCAAAUUAUUAGUUUUUUCGCAGAUCAUUGCAUUGCCGUCUAGAUCCGCUGUUGCUCAUAGUCCGAAUCCUCCGGUGAUUAUGUUUUUGAGUUUUUGUGUUUUUUGGUUGGAUUGAACUAACCUAUGAUGCACAGACACUGACACUGACACGGGACAUGCUGACACGCAAUUUUAAAAUCUUAUAAAACUUGGGACACGCAUACAUAUAAAAUAUAAAGUAUUUUUUAGAUAAAUCAUAAUAGUAUUUUGAUAUUUUAUUGAAUACUAAAAUAUAAAUUAAUUUUUUAAUUAUUUUAAUAUCUUAUUUUAAUUAUAUCAAGUAUUUAAAAUAUUUUUUGUUUUAAUAAAUAAUAAAUAUAUACUAUAUCUAAAUUUAUUUUAAAAAUAUAUGUUAAGAAUAAGAUUGAACACGCUAACACGUGAUGGUAUUUAGGUGUGUCCAAGCGUGUCGGUGAAGAAUUUUUUAUUUUUUAUUAAGACACGAUUUAGACACAGCAAUCAGCAAACACGCGUGUCGGGCGAGUGUCGUGUCCAAAAUGUGUCCGACACGCGGACACGACAACUCAGCGAAGUGUCCGUGCUUCAUAGGAACUAACAGGUUCACCGUCUUCAUCCAAGCGAAGCCAUGGCGUUGGUGAGUUGUUCAUUUCUUCUUAUAAUGUUCAUCACUUGCUGAUUAAUUUGGUUUUAGUUUCGGUCUUUUUUUUAUUAGGCUUUAAGGUCAGGGUGUGUUUCCUUGGGGUUAAAAUAUGAAAAUUUACAUACGAAUUUCAUUUAUGUUUUGUGCACAAUUAUUCAACUUAUAGCAUUCCUAGUUAAUUAAUAAUUAAUUGAUGUAAUAAAGAACAAAAAGUAAGGCGAAAGGUUGCUAUUUUUAUAAUUAUUAUAGAGUUAGUGCUUUAGUUUUCAAUAAAUUUAGGCUUUACUAAUAACAUAGAAAUUUGAAAUCAGGGUGCGCAGGUUUGGAACCCUAUACAAAGGGCCUUUCCUUGUGAGAUGCUAGAUGGUGUCAACAAUAGUUUAUAAAGUUAAAACUAGUUUCUCGGAGGGGAACUCUUGAAAACAUAUAGAACUCUUCUUAAUGAGAAACAGGUAUGAGUUGUGUUAUUUGUAAUGUCUCAUUAGCUUUAUAUACGAGACAAAAUAAGUAUAUAAAAUAUUUCACAAUUGUUAGUUAAAUGUUCAAUUGAAGUUUGUAGUCUUAAGUUUAUAUAUAUGAUUUUCAUUUGCCAGGUUUUUUAUUUGGGGGAAAAUGCUCCUGAUAAGGUGCUGCAUUCAAUCUAUGCUAAGUUGGAAAAUUUCAAAGUCCAGGGUGAUCAAUUUGCCAUGAAGAUUAUGGAGAGGCUGAAGUUAAUUGUAAGUUUGUGAUUAAUAAUGUUUUAUGGGCUAUUUUUAUGUUUUUUGAGUAAUAAUAUAUGUAUUCACUCUUUUUCGUAUAAAGGGAACUGACUCACCCUUCUUUUCUAUUGGAUGAGGUUUAGGGUCUACACUAAAUAAUACAUAUAAUAUUUUUCUAAAAACAGAUUUUGCACAUUUUAACCACUUGUUCUGUAUUGUCUUUUUUUGCUGAUGCAGUGAUAUUUGACUCCUGCACGGAGAAAAAAGAGAUGGUAAAUAAUAUGAUUAACAUAACUCUACAAGCACUAUUUACUACUAAAGGCACUUUGUUGAAAUGUAUUAUAGAUUAUAUCAAAUGGCAUAUAUACAGCAAAGUUGGUCGCCUUUGACCAAUUCAGCAAGCAAAAAAUCUAGAUUAUCAAAACUGAUAUCUCCAAGGCAUUUAGGUAUUGGACCAGAAAGACUAUUAUGAGAGAAAUCUAUAAUUGAUAACACACUAGCUAGUAAUAUUGCACAAUUCAUUGGGUAUGUUUCCUAUAAGUUUGUUCCCUUUCAAGAUAAGAAUAUUUAGAACACCAAUGAUGCUUAUGAUGUCUGCAAUGGUGCUAGAUAUUUCAUUAUUGUUAAGAUCCAAUAUUUGUUUGUGACCAUCUCUAACAAGAGGCUAGGUCUUGAAUUUGGGGGGUUGCUGCAGUUCAAUUUUAGCCCAAACUUAUUUUUAUCAUACAUUUUCAGUGAUUCUACUUGUCAUAAGUGGGAAGAGACACAGAGGCUUCAAUCAACAAGAAAAUUAACAUCUGCUCUAUUUUUUAGGACAUUAUGUAAAUGAAACAAGAUAUUGUACUACUAAAAUGUUAACUCUACGUUUUUAUAGUUGAAACUUUAAAUUGGACAUGCCAAACGAUUUAUUAUUGGUUUUUAAUGGUUAAAGCAUAGCUUGGUUGAUUAGUUCCUAGAUAAACACAGUAGCUUACAUAUAUAAUACGGUAAGCGUUUCUGUUACUUUUAAUACGUGCUACCUGUUGACAUUAGGGCAUAUGUAUGUUGAAUUUUACCCAACACUAGUUCAUGUGAUGCAAGGAAGAUUUCCAUGGUUAUCCAUUUGGAGUGAGAUAAGUGCAUAAUUCAGUAAUGUUGUUGAAACUUACUACUUUCACUUUUUAUACAUGCAUGUUAACACGGAUUCUUUUAUUAUAUAUUUAGCAUUUAGGCUUUAUAUAUAUACAUUCUUUAUUCUUACAUAUCAUAUUGUAAUCAUGUGAACUUGUUCUUAUGUUAAUGAUAUAUGGGAUAUGGUUUGCAUUUUGUUACUUAAAUGUAUAGUUCUGCUCUGACACUUGUAUAUAUUUUGAAUAUUAUCUAACAUGUAACGUUGUCAUAUCUUUCAGGCAAAAGAGUAUACAGUAUCUUGUGUUGAAAAGAGCUUUGCUUGUGAUAGCCAGAAUCUUCAUGCAUGUGUAUCCAUUUGGAAGGAGACCAAUAACAUUUAGAAGUGCAAUUACUAUAAUAAAUUAGUAAGUGUUAUGUUUCCAUAUUUUAGUCCUGUUUAAGUUUUCUGCUGUAGAUGCAGGGUGGGUCGUGAAAGAGGAUGCUUUUGGGGGGUUGCUGCAGUUCAAUUUUUGCCCAAACUUAUUUUUAUCAUACAUUUCCAGUGAUUCUACUUGUCAUUAGUGGGAAGAGAAACAGAGGCUUCAAUCAUCAAGAUCACCACUUUAACCUUCUUGGUCAUGUAAGCAUGGACUUGAAUUAUAAUUAAUCAAGCUUGAUAUACUUCUAAGUUUUAUUAUCAACCAAAUGUAUAAAAAAUGUGCAGGCAUGGAGAUUGUUUACAGAAGGCAAAGGCUAUGAAAAUUGUUUGUAAUGCAACAAGAGACACAUCGAAUUUAUUACAGGCAGGUGCAUAUAGUAGGAUAUGAUUAUGCAUAAAUAAAAUAUUAACAUUUAAUAUUAUAUUAUUCAUUAAAUCCCAUAGUGGUCCUGAGAUUGACGCCAUACACCAAAAUCGUUCCUGAGAUUUCAAUUGCACCAAUUACGUCCCUAAGAUUGGAAAAAUUGCACUAUAGUAAUUCCUGACCCGUUUUUCGUUAACGAUGCACUGGCGUGGCUUGAUGACGUGGACCUUUGGUGACACGUGUCAUCUCAUGGUUUGGCCACGUGUAACGGUAUGAUGACGUGUCGAUCAACGACACGUGGCAUGCUGACGUGGAUGGGUAUGCCACAUGUCACAAUGCUAUUUUGUCACGUGUCAGAUUAUGCCACAUGUCGCAAUGCUAUUUGUCCACGUGUCAUCCACUAUGUCAUCGUUACAUGUGCACCAAAUUGGUCGCUUACUUUGCAUCAAAUGACUCAUUUUAGUCCCUGAAAUUGAAUGUCGUGCACCAAAUUAGUCCCUUCAUCAGUUUUUUUUCAUCUUUUUAUAAAUUUAAAAUUCUCAAUAUUUUUUUAUACACUAAUUUUAAUUAUAUUUUUUAUUAUACAUAUUUUAUAAUAAAUUUUUUAAUUAAUAAUGUUAACUUGUAUUAUUAGAGUACAUGUUAACUAAAGCCAAAAAUUUAUUAUUGUCUCUUGUGUUUAUUUGUAUCUGUUUUAAUACUGUUCAAGUCAUGGUUACAAUAAGUACUUAUAUUGAUUAAUAGUGUAAUAUAUGAAAAAGCCGCCUAACUAAGUUAUAAAUAAAAUGAAUUAUUAUAAUCGACAGUAUAAAUCUAUCUUAUUAAUUUAGUGAGAAGUUAAUUAUAUAGGAAAGCGGACAUUCUUAAAAUGGAUGGGAAUAAUGAAUUUAUAUUAGUUAAUAAAUGCCUUAUCAAGUAUUCCUAAAAUAUUUAUUAAAGUGUUAAAUAUUAAAAAAAUUGUAAUAAGGAAUAUUAUUAUACUCUUAGCUUACACUCUUUAUUAAAUCAAUAUCAAUAUGUCACAUAAUUCUUUUAAUAAAAUAUUUUAGAAAAAAAUUGUAUAAUUAAAACUAAUAUUUUAAAAAUAUUUUAUAAAAACACUUAUAUUUAAAUAACUUGUGAAAAGAUAAAAUUAAAAUUAGUGUAUUCAAAUAUAUAAUGAGAAUUUUAAAUUUAUAAAAAAAUGAGAAAAAACUAAUGAAAGGACUAAUUUGGUGCAUGACAUUCAAUUUCAGGGACUAAAAUGAGUCAUUUGAUGCAAAGUAAGGGACCAAUUUGGUGCACAUGUAAUGAUGACAUAGUGGAUGAUACGUGGACAAAUAGCAUUGCGACACGUGGCAUAAUCUGACACGUGGCAUAAUAACAUUGUGAUACGUGGCAUACCCAUCCACGUCAGCAUGCCACGUGUCGUUGACUGACACGUCAUCAUACCGUUACACGUGGGCAAACCAUGAGGUGACACGUGUCACCAAAUGUCCACAUCAUCAAGCCACGUCAGCGCGUCCUUAACGAAAAAUGGGUCAGGGACUACUAUAGUGCAAUUUUUUCACUAUCAGAAACGUAAUUGGUGCAAUUGAAAUCCCAAAGACGAUUUUGGUAUACGACGUCAAUUUCGGGGAGCACUCCGAAAAUUUACUCUAGAAAUAUUAAACUAAUUUGGUUUAUGAGAUACGUUCGGCACUUCCAUUUUAUUUUUUUGCAUUAGUCUGAACUUUGAAAACUGAUACUGGUUUACGUGCAAAAACUAAUUUAUUCUAUUCUACAUCCAGAUGCUAUUGUGGACUGGUUGUUGUGUUGGGAAUAAGGAGUAUGAUCACAAUCCAAUCAAUUAUGUGUCAAAUAAUUUAUUAUUGUUAUUAUAUUAAAAUGUUAAUAUAAUAAAGUCCUUGAUUAAAUUUAGAAAUUUAUCAUUGUGAUAGUGAUCAUAAUAUUGAGAAAUAAAUCUUUUGUAAUUUAAUCUAAAUUGUUCUUGGUCAUAUGAUUAUUAGAAAAUGACAUAAAUAAUCCAGAAAGAUCAAUAUAUAUAUAAUGGUCUUCAUUAGUUGAAGAUUAAUAGAUCUCAUUUAUUAAAUUAUAUAUAUAGAUGGUGUAUAUAGAGAUAUGACCAUUGAACUGACUCAUUUUGAGAAUUCCUAAUGGUUAUAAUUACCGUAUAUUUGUCAAUAGGAUAUUCUCAAGAUGAACAUAGUAAUAGAGUUUCCUUUGACCUGCGACUAGGGGUGGAAAUAGGCCAAGCGGCCUGCCAGGGGCCUGCAGCCUGGCCUGUGUUCGGCCUGACCUGGCCUGGCCUGAUAGGAAAUAGGCCCAGGCUCAGGCUACUAAAAAAGCCUAUAUUCUUUAAAAGGCCAGGGCUAGGCUUUUGAAAUAGCCUGUUGGGCCUGUCAGGCCGGCCUGAGCCUGCAAAUAUAUAUAAAGAGUUUUAUUAUACUAGUAAAAAUGCUAUUAGAAGGAUUUGAACUUAGGUCUUCUAUCUUAUGAAAAUACCUUUAUCCAGUCAGCCAUUUGUCUCUUUAGUUAUAUAUUUGUAUUUUGUAUCAAUAUUAUUCAUAAAUUUAAUUAUUAUUAAAAAAAAAACAGGCCUAGUGACAGGCUUCAGGCCAGGCCAAAUUUAACAACAGGCCAGGCUCAGUACUCAUUAAAAAGCCUAUAUCAGGCUACAGGCCAGGCUAAAGCCAAUAUACUCUAUUACAGGCCUGGCCUGUUAAGAGUAAAGCCUGGCCUGGCCUGGCCUGUUUCCACCUCUACCUGCGACUAUCAUAGUAAUUAACAAUGUAUUUAUUAUACUUUGAUUCCGGACACCUAAUACCCUAGGGUGCUAGUUGAAUGGAUAUUGGGUAUGAUUUAAAUACUUGUAGAAUUAAUGAUUAGUUAAUAAGGAAUCCGUCAACUCUCGGUAAAGAGUUUGAGCUCUAUGAUUAUAAUGACUGAGAUGAAUAAAACCUUGGCCAAGGAGAUUGAAUGAAUGAAGAAAUGAGUUUCUUAGGUCAUUCACAGUUUAUUAUAAUAAUGGUAAUAAGUUAGAGUUUGACAAUUAAACCAUACUCUAAGGGUUAACCAAGAGCUGGAAAGAUGGAAGGAAUUAUACUUUGUUCUUCUGAGGUUCUUAGUAAAAAUAUAUUACUUCAUAUUAUCGGGUCGUUGAGGAGUGUUGCUAGACACCAACCUUGAUUAGUAAAUUUAGUAUGACUAAUUUACUACCCGCUUAGUAUUGAACCUAUGGGGUCACACACUAACGAGUGUUCUAAUCUUUGCUAUAGAAUUAUUUAAUUAUUAUUUUGAUUUGAUCAAAUAAAUAAUUAUAUUAAUUCAGAUAAAAUAUUAUUAUAUUUUUUUGCUAGCACCAAGAAUAUAAUAAUAGUAUGAUAAUUGAGAAUAUUAAAUAAGAUUUGAGAAUAAUUAGUUAUUCUAUUUCUAAAUUUGAAUUCUAAAUUUGGAUGAGAUCCUAACUGAUUCUGUUUCAAAUUGAGUUAUGAUAUGAUUCAUAAAUUUGAAAGAUUUAGAUUUAGAAUUUUAAGAUAUGAUUUAAAUUUGAAUUGAGAUUCAAAUUUAAAAUCAGUAACAAAUCUCAUUGAUGAAUUUGGAAAACUCUAAAUUAACAUAUGUGAUGACUAAACAUUAUUAAUUUAAUUAAUUGCAAAGAUAUUAAUUCAUAUAUAGUGAUUAAAUUAAUCUUUGCUAUGCAGAUUUAACAUUUGGCCAAAAAUAAAAAAAAUGUUGCAAGCCCAAGUGUUUUAUAAAUACAUUUAGCAUUGAUGCAAAAAUACUUUGAUUAUUGCGGCUGAAUUAUUAUUCUUGUUAUUGGGCCAGAAUUGAUCCUAAUUAGCCCAAAUUAACUUUGAUGGAAAAAGAUCCAAUGCUUGGUCCGAAACCUAUUAAAAGAAAGUAAUUUGGCUUCAUGCUUUCAACGGAUUCCAUUUCUUAUUGUGGGAUGGAUUUCAAAAUUUAAUUUGUUAGCAUUGGAAAUAUAAAUGAGAGAGAAAGUAUGAUUGACAUGAUUGAUUGGUUUAAUGCAACACGCUACUCAGCAAGGGAAGUAAAAGCAAUCCCAUUUCAAUUAAUUUGUUCUAUUUCAAUUAAUUAUUUUUCUUCUAACUCUAUCUUCUCUCUCAUCUUUCCUUCUUCUCUUUCGGUCAUUACCCAGCAACCAUGGAAGCUACACCUAGCCACCGAAAAGAAGUUGGUGCAAGCAACAAGACCAUCACAAUGAUGACAAGAAAAAGAAAACAUAAAGUAUGCUGUGGCUAAGAUUCUCAUUCACUUGUGGUUAGAUUUUGUGAAGAGAUCUUGGCUCCUCCAUACCAAAAAUGGAAGUGAAGAUUUCGGUCAGAGAAGAAGAUCCUUGGAGAGGAUGGCUUGUCUCUGAUUCUGCUUAGCCACCACAGGAGGUAGCUAGAGUGGCUAUGUGAUGGAGGAGGCAGAGAUUGGAGCAGAUGAAGCUACCAUCAUCAUGAAGCAUCAAGGGCCAGAAGUUCAUCUUGGAGAGCAAGGCAAGGAUGAAGGGCUCGGAUUGAUGAAGAAUGGUGACCAAGGAAGGACUAGAGAUAAUUGCAUGUUAGGUUUUGCAUGAGUUAUCUCUUCUCUCUCUCUGGCCGAACCGGUUCAAGUUGAAGAAGAAGAAGAUUGGCUUGGUUUGUUUGGUUUCAACCUUGAAGGCUUCUCCCUAUAAGUAAGGGUGAACAGUCAGGGUUUGAUUCAAGGAAAAGAAAAGAGUGAGCACAGAGUUCUCAUAACUCUCUAAGCUGACAGAAUUUCUUCUCCUUCAAUGUUCUUCAUUUUGUAAUUUUCUGUUUAAUUUUGUCAUGUCUUGAGUCUCAUGGAAAAGGCAAACAGUGAGGUUUGUAUGAAAAAGCCAUAGAGCGAAAAAAGACAGAGAGUGCAAAAUUAAAAGAAAAAGCCAUAGAUGUCCUUAGAUGUCCUUUGUACAUCUGUGUUGUGUUUCAUGAUUCUGUGGGAAUCCUCUUGUAAGUUGGGUUAGCACUUUACAGUUGAAAGCUUGGCAGUGACCAAGUCAAGUUCAGUUUGGGUUUAGAUUCUGGACUUGUCCCGGAUAGGAAGGAGGGUAGUUCCUAGGGAGAAUUGGUGUUUGUAAUCAAGGAUGAUUAUAGUGAAAUUCCAUCAUUAUUGUGAUGGAGUCUGGAUGUAGGCUGCCUUGCACUUAGCAGCUGAACCAGGAUAUAUCUUGGUGUAAUUCUCUCUUUCUUCUACUCUAUUUCUGUUUCUGCUGCCCAGGAGAUAAAACUGAAAAUAUCUUGUGCUGACUGACGAGACAAAAAGAAAAGUCUCGUGGCUGGGAACGAGACAAAAGAAAAAAUCUCGUGGCUAGUUACGAGAUAAAAAGACAAAAAGUUUCCAGAAGUGAUUUCAAAGGCCAGCAAGUAUUAUCAAGCAAAAAGGGGGCGAAGAUUCAACCCCCUUCUCUUAGCCACUGAUAACCAUCACUCAUACUAUAUAUAUGUAUGCCAAGAGUGAAGGAAUAGACAGAUGAGAAUAACAAGAGUUUUAUUCCGUUACCUUUACACACAUAAAUAUAUGUGAGCCUGAUUCUUGGAGAAGAAUUUUAUUGCGUGCAAAGAGUUGCAAGAGGUUUCUCAAUUUAGAUCAGAUGUCCAUUGGUCAAGGAGUUGACAGCAAAGGUUGGUCUCGGUGUGGAUACGCAUAGCGCCUUCGUACCAUCGAAGGAGAAAGUGAUUUUUACUAAAGCGUCUAAAGGUAUUUAGAUCUGAUCUAUAUAUUACAUUUAUAUUAUUGGAAUAAAGUUUAAGCAUAAAAUAGAUCUUUAAGGAUUACUUUCUUUUUCUUCUGCUGCAUGUUAUGAACACAUGGUAAUUCUUCAGUGGUAUCAGAGCUUUGGUUUUUUUGUGUUUAAAUUUUUAUUCCUAUUUUUUUAAAGUUUGUGAAUUAAUAGGAUUAAUUCAAAUUAUUUUUAAGCAUGUGAUGUAUUUAUUUCCGUUGAGAUGGUUUUCUAAUAAAUUAAUAGUUAAUUUAUUUUAAUUAUUUAAUUGUGAUUAAAUUAUCAUUCUUUUAAUAUAAAAGUUAUAUUUAUAAUCAAAUAUUUUGUUUGAUUUUAUUUAUAUAUUAAAUUUUAUUGUGAUUUUGAUCACAAUAAAAGGAAUAAGAUGUAAAAUAUCUUUUAUUUGUUUCUUAUAUAUAUAAGUGUAUAUAUAAAACUCAAAUUUGAUUUGAUAAUUUUUUAAGGCUAAACGUUAGUACAUAAAAAAUCAAAUUUUGAUUUGAUUGAUGUGUUUUGAACACUAUAAUUUUAGAAAUUAAUUUUUCUAAUGUUCUUGAUUAUAAAGAGCGAUCUGACAACCAGGAAUUUUAUUUUUAAGAUAAUAAUCAGUGUAUACAUUUGAUGUAUUAAGGAUUUAAUUUUAUAUUUUUACCUAGACAACCUGGGAGUAUAAAAUUUAAUCCAUGAAUAUUGGUACAAAUUCUCUAACAAUUGAGAUAAAUCCUAAAAGUUAGGAGUUUGCCAAAAAUAAAUUUAUCUCUUGUUUACAAGGAGCAACCUGACAACCAGGAGACUUGUACUCAAAGAUAGAAUUUAUUUAUACAUGUGAUGAUAUACAAGGAGAAUUAAUUUUAUACUUAAACCUAGACAACCUAGCGGUAUAAAAUAUAAUUCAGUUAAAUAAUUGUCUGACAACCAGAUAAUUAUUUGGGAUUAUAAUUGUAUGUGAUACAAUUUAAUCAUAUUUAUUUGGAAUAGGUAUGAGUAACAACUUGACAACCAAGAUACUCAUUUAUGAUUCUAAAUAAUUUUAACAGAAAUAUAGAUUUUUUAAUUUACUUUCGUAUUUUAAUUUUUUAAAUAUGUCCAUUUUUUUGUAUGGCAUACUUGAAACUUGAAAGUAAUAUAUUGGCUAACAUUUGAAAAUUGUUCUCAUGUAUGAAAGGGUUAUCAUGGAGAUGAUAAUUCUAUUAAAAUAAUAUCCUCCAAUAAAAUUAUUUUUGAAAUGGUCAGAACUUUUGAAAUAUUUGUAAUAUUAUUUUACAUGGGUUGUUUGGACAGUCAUAAAUUCUAAUUUCAAAGGCAUCUCUCCACUAUUUAUUGCUGAACAUCUUGAGAAGAUGUGGUGCCUAAAGUAAGAUAGUAUGACUAUCAAAAAUUUUAUUUAAACUAGUGGGAGUAUUGGGUAAUAUAUUUUGAAUUAAACAACUUUAGAAGUUAGAAUGCCAUUAGGCAAAUGGCUUUAGUGAGAAUUGUUCUUGCAAGCAUUUUUGGAGAUUCAUUUUGUUACAAACAAUUUAUAAUUAGCCUUAAUAUUUGUGAUAUUUUUAGAAAAACCCAAUAUGAGUAUUGAGGAUGCCAAUCAAAAUUGCUCUUAAGGGUUGGUUUGACCAAUAAUAAAGAUAUUGAGUAUUUUUAUUAUAAGAGCUUAAAGUAAAAUCUCUAAUUAUCUAAUUGAUAUUCUAUUGAAUAGAGAAUGAGAUUCUCUCAAUGCACAAAUAUUAGUACUCUAUGUACUAAGAAACAAAGAAUUUAGCUGAGGAUCACUAUUUGUUAAAUAUUUAGACUACAUUUUAGAAAUGUUGCUAAAUUAACAAAUUUCUUACUAAAUCAAUUUUUUACCCAUAUGAGAUAUAGAAAAUGGCAUAAGUCAAAACUCAAGAACAUUAGAGUUCGAUAAAUGAGAUUUAUUGGUUGCCCUAAAAGAAAUAAUAAGUAUUAUUUCUAUCAUCCUUCUUACGACAAAGUGUUUGUGAUAAGAGGUUGAACUCUUUUUUAGAAAAAAGAGACUCCUUCCUAAAGAAAGAUAAGGUGAACAAAUAGAACUUGAUAAAGUCAAGACAAUCAAAAAGUUUGAUUUAUACAAUGUCAAGAGAAACUUUGUAUUUAUAAAGAAAGAGUGAGAGUACAAUUACUUUUAUUAGAAUUGUAUACCACUCAAUAGAGGAUAUACUUUCUCCUGAAAGUAUAAAAAGUUUGAUCGUCAAGCUAACUUUUUGAAAAAGUAGCCUAUUUGUAUAAUGAUACAAUUCUAUAAAGAUAGAUCUAAUGGUUACUUAGAUUUUUUUAUAAUCAUGUUCAAUAAGGAUUGUCCUUAAAAUAAAAUUAUGCACUAUUGUAGUGGGAGAUUUCAUGUUUUGAGAAAACGUGAUAUUAUUAUUCACUAGGUAUUUUGCAAAAGGUCAAGCACAUAUGCUCAAAAAUUAAGGUGUUUAAGGUCAAAAGAGUUUUGAUAAACACAAAUGUGCAUUGAAAAAUUAUACACAUGAUUGAUUGACUCUAGUGCAAGUGGGAGACUAUUGUGAUAAUAGUAUUCCCAAGAUCCAAUCUAUCAUGAUUGGCUCUCGUGCAAGUGGGAGAUUGUUGGGAAUAAGGAGUAUGACCACAAUUCAAUCAAUCAUGUGUCAAAUAAUUUGUUAUUGUUAUUAUAUUAAAAUGUUAAUAUAAUAAGGUCCUUUAUUAAAUUUAGAAAUUUAUCAUUGUGAUAGUGAUCAUAAUAUUGAGAGAUAAAUCUUUUGUAAUUUAAUCUAAAUUGUUCUUGGUCAUAGGAUUAUUAGAAAAGGACAUUAAUAAUCCGGAAAGAUCAAUAUAUAUAUAUAUAAUGGUCUUCAUUGGUUGAAGAUUAAUAGAUCUCAUUUAUUAAAUUAUAUAUAUAGAUGGUGCAUAUAGAGAUAUGACCAUUGAACUAACUCAUUUUGAGAAUUCCUAAUGGUUAUAAUUACCGUAUAUUUGUCAAUAGGAUAUUCUCAAGAUGAACAUAGUAAUAGAGUUUCCUUUGACCUGCGACUAUCAUAGUAAUUAACAAUGUAUUUAUUAUACUUUGAUUCCGGACACCUAAUACCCUAGGGUGCUAGUUGAAUAGAUAUUGGGUAUGAUUUAAAUACUUGUAGAAUUAAUGAUUAGUCAAUAAGGAAUCCGUCAACUCCCGGUAAAGAGUUUGAGCUCUAUGAUUAUAAUGACUGAGAUGAAUAAAACCUUGGCCAAGGGGAUUGAAUGAAUGAAGAAAUGAGUUUCUUAGGUCAUUCACAGUUCAUUAUAAUAAUGGUAAUAAGUUAGAGUUUGACAAUUAAACCAUACUCUAAGGGUUAACCAAGAGCUGGAAAGAUGGAAGGAAUUAUACUUUGUUAUUCUGAGGUUCUUAGUAAAAAUAUAUUACUUCAUACUAUCGGGUCGUUGAGGAGUGUUGCUAGACGCCAACCUUGAUUAGUAAAUUUAGUAUGACUAAUUUACUACCCACUUAGUAUUGAACCUAUGGGGUCACACACUAACGAGUGUUCUAAUCUUUGCUAUAGAAUUAUUUAAUUAUUAUUUUGAUUUGAUCAAAUAAAUAAUUAUAUUAAUUCACAUGGAAUAUUAUUAUAUUUUUUUGCUAGCACCAAGAAUAUAAUAAUAGUAUAAUAAUUGAGAAUAUUAAAUGAGAUUUGAGAAUAAUUAGUUAUUCUAUUUCUAAAUUUGAAUUCUAAAUUUGGAUGAGAUCCUAACUGAUUCUGUUUCAAAUUGAGUUAUGAUAUGAUUCAUAAAUUUAAAAGAUUUAGAUUUAGAAUUUUAAGAUAUUAUUUAAAUUUGAAUUGAGAUUCAAAUUUAAAAUUAGUAACAAAUCUCAUACUAUAUAUAUGUAUGCCAAGAGUGAAGGAAUAGACAAAUGAGAAUAACAAGAGUUUUAUUCCGUUACCUCUACACACAUAAACGUAUGUGAGCCUGAUUCUUGGAGAAGAAUUUUAUGGCGUGCAAAGAGUUGCAAGAGAUUUCUUAAUUUAGAUCAGAUAUCCAUUGGUCAAGGAGUUGACAGCAAAGGUUGGUCUCAGUGUGGAUACGCAUAGCGCCUUCGUACCAUCGAAGGAGAAAGUGAUUUUUACUAAAGCGUCUAAAGGUAUUUAGAUCUGAUCUAUAUAUUAUAUUUAUAUUAUUGAAAUAAAAUUUAAGCAUAAAAUAGAUCUUUAAAGAUUACUUUCUUUUUCUUUCGCUCCGUGUUAUGAACACAUGAUAAUCUUUCAUCUUAGAUUUGGAAAUAUGGAAAACGCCAAGCAAGAAGCAAUUAAGGCUAAUUCAGGUGGAGAACGUAAGUUUCAAUAAUCUUAUACAUUUUUAAUAAUUGUUUUAUCUUUGUAAAGUAAUGAAUAGUAAACGGUGCAAUAUAAUUUGGGUUUAACAUGAUAACAUGAAGUCAUGAACAGUUUCUAGUAUAGAGCAUCAACUUAUAUUAUAUUCAUAUGCUAAUACACUAUAGUGGUAAUUUGUUUAUUUAUAAAUUGUGUUUUGAGUUCUAAUUAUGUUAAUAACUUUUGCAGUUUUAAUUGAUACAAAAUAUGAGCCAUUGAUCCCUAAGAAAGAGAAGUCAACUCAAUCAAAGAAGUUUUAGUUUUUUUAAGGGUUUUUUGUUUUUUCUACUUUAUGUAAUGAAAAAUUUUUUUCGCUUGAUUUUUGCAUACAUUUAGCAUCAUUGGCUAUAAAAUCAUCGAUGUACAUUUGGAUUGUAAAUCAUAAAUUUAAUAUAUUUAUAAAUUUUGUCUCUUUUAAUUUUUAUAUUUUGAUAUAGAUAUUGUGAAUAUUUUCGGUAUUUAUUUAAAAAAUUGAUCUAUAUUUGAUUCUUUUAUAUUUUGUUGAAAUAUAAUUAUUUAUAAAAAUUAAGUUUUAAUAGUGGUAUAUGUGAAAUUAGUAAAAUUCAAUAAUUAGAAAAUCAGAAACAGUGACCGAUUUAGCUACCAAAUUUUAGAUUUUUAAAUCAGAUAUCAGCAACCGAUUUAGCGACCAAAAAGUUGGUCACUAUUUAGUGACCGAUUCUCUCAGCGGCCAAUUUAGCGACAAAAAAAGUGGUCGCUAUUUAGUGACCGAUUUUAUUAGCGACCAAUAUUGUUUGGUAUUAGUUUGGUGGCCUUGUUCAAAAAUUGGUCGCUAAAAUCGACCGCUAAGAAUUUAGAGACUGAUUUAAAAAAAAAAUUGGUCGUUAAAUCGGUCGCUAUUCCGGUAAUUUCUUGUAAAUAUAAACUAGCAUUCUUAAUUGCUAUAGUCAUGUCCUUUGUUCUCCUAAGCUUUUUAGAGAGGGUUUGAGGAAUUAUAUUCAUAUAUACAACUUUUUUUUUAAAUGAGAAGGAUAGCUUUUAUAAAUUUAUAUAUAUUAUAUGGGAUCUAAGUCCAACAAAAAGUCUACAUAAAGUUAAAUGAGGUAAAGUAGACCCAUUAUAUCAUUAUUCAUGAGUAUACUAACAAACUCAUGAGGAGGUGAAUCCCAAAAAACAAGUUCCAAUAUAAAGUUAAAAUUAAAUAAAUCUCAUUUUAAUUUGUCUACAUCCACUACAAGAAAUAUAUUGAAUAUUAUCGAAUUUAGUGUCACACAUUAGCAUCGAUUUUAUCAUUGGAUUUAAUGACAAAUUUGAUGUGAAAUUCGUUAUGCCAAAUAACUACCGACAAAUAGCCACUUUCGACGGUAAAGUCGUCGAUAAUUUUUGGUAGAAACCACAACAAAUAGGCGCCAAAUUUAACAUUGAAAUUACUGGAAGACGAAUUCGACAAUAAACACGUUUAAUAUAUAGAACGUUGCAUUUUAGUGAUUCGCACCGCGUUACCGUCGAAAAUAUUUGCCGAUAAAUUUGACGGUAACCGUGUCCUAAAUUGGAACCGAGAACCCUCUCCCCUUCAUUUCAAUUUCACUCUCUCUCUCUCUCUCUCUCUCUAAUCUCUCACCUUCCUCUCUCCCUCUCUCUUUCUCUAACCUUCUCAUUUCUCAUCUCUCAUCUCCGUCAAUCUCCUCCGCUGCUAUUGUGAAAGCUGCAGCCGCUAUAGCGAAAGUUGCUACCGCUACCACAAACGUCACCGCUGCAGUCGCGAACACAGCCGCCGCUGCUGCAAGCCCCUGCCGCCACUGCUGCAACGCCCCUGCCACUUUUGCCUCUGUCGCCGCUGCACCUCCACCCCUCUUCUUCGUUCUCUCUUGUUCUGCAUUCAAAAUUUUUUGUUUGAACAUUAUUUAUUUCAAAUUUUGUUAUUUCAAGUUAAUUAAUUAGUUAGUAGAGUUUAGUUAGUUUAAUUUUCUGUUUUAGUAUAUUUAGGUGGUUAGGAUAUGUUAGAUUAGGUUCUGAGAUUGUUGGAAAAUAUUGAAUUAUUGAGCUAUUCUCUGAUUUUUCUUGCUGAAAUUAUUUGAAAAAUGCUUGACUAUUUAAUAAUAAUUUAGUUGUUUGUAUAUUACUUUAAUAAUGAUUGAAAAAAUUAAUAAGUUGAGAAGGCUUGAUGAAUAUUUGGUUUAGAUGGAAUCUUUGAAGGGUGAAAAAAUUCAAAUUUUAGGAGAGACUCUUUCAAAACUUUUAUAAGAUUUUCACUGAAAUUAAAAAAAAUUAAAAUUAUGUUUAAGGUUGAUAGAUAUUUGUGUUAAUUGAUGGAAAAUGNNNNNNNNNNNNNNNNNNNNNNNNNNNNNNNNNNNNNNNNNNNNNNNNNNNNNNNNNNNNNNNNNNNNNNNNCCUGCUGCUGAAAUGGUUUGGAAAAUGUUUGACUGUAUUAAUAAUGAUUAAGCUGUUUGUAUGUUACCUUAAUAAUGAUUGAAAAAAUUAAUAAGUUGAGAAAGUUUGAUGGAUAUUUGGUUUGGAUAGAAUCCUUGAAGGGGGGAGAAAUCCAAAUUUUAGGAAUUAUUUCGAAACUAAAACACUAUGUAAUUUCUUUUUUUUUUUUUGUUAAUUUACUAAACUAAAAUACUUUUAGAAUUAUUUAUUAUUUCUUGAGUUUCUUCUUAUGUUAUUAUUAUUUAUUGGUAUCUGUUAUGUUAUUAAUAUAUUUGUUGUAAAGAUAUGACGAAAGGUAGCAGAGGUAGGUCGAGUGGGUCACGUGGUCAUGGUAGAGAGCAGACUUCCACCGAAUUUCCGAGGACUGCUAGUCAUCGCCCUCUAUCCCGGAUACCCCGUCGCCCCCUGUUACGUCAACGUCAUAGGCAGGUCCAGCAGACCAGCAAUUCAGCAUGGUCCCAAACUGGAAUUGGGUGCCUCCUUCUGCUAUGCCCCUGCAGAUGCAGCGACGACAUCGAUAGAGCCCGCGGUGGGUGAUUUCUCCAGUGCCCCCCAACAUGAUGCCCCUCUACUACCUCCUGUCAUCUGGCUGAAGAUUUGGCUCGAUCACAUGCAGUCACGAGUUCAACUUUUUAAUCUUAAGUUUGUUUAUCUUAAGUUUGUUUAUCUUAAGUUUAUGUGUUUCUAUUUGUUUAAUAAUGUGAGGUUUUUUCUUUGACAGGUUUGCACCAAACCCCAAGCUUGCACACAGGAGACCACCGAGGUCAUUAAGUCUAUGUACGACCACACGUGGCUGACCUACUCGCAGAUCUUGGCUAAGACCAGAGAGCGAUGGUUUCAGAAGUGAGCAGUAAUAAUCCAAUUUAGUUUGAACUAAUUAACUGUAUUUAAACUGUAUUUUAUUUUGACUAACUAAUUUUGGUGAAUCACUUUGUGCACUUGAAAUUUAUAUGGGAUGCAGAACACAAUCUCAUGAUCAGGAAGAUCUAUGACCACCGGGCAACCAAAUGACUUCAGCAGAUGAUGAGCGACAUUCGUCAGGGAAAAGACCACCGAACAUCGUGGAUCUGUCCAAACAUCAAGAAGGAACUUGAGGCCUAUUUUUGAGAUAACGAGGGUCUCAAGCAUUGCCGUCUGACAAACAUCGCUAACAGGGCUUCGCCUAGGUCGUCGAGGUAUACGAGUGGAUCGGCGACCUUCAGGAAGACGAAGAGUAGACUGCUAAGAAUUUUGACAUUGUUUAAUGUUUUAGUAGUCACUUGAAUUAGUUAUUUAAUUUGUUCAUUUAUUUUAUAAGCAUGUAAUUGAUUUACAAGCAUUCUUAUUUUGAAUAUGAUCUUUAGUGUUAUCCUUACUCUGUUGAUAUAUACUUAUAUAGUUCUGUAAGAAUUGAAUUGAGUUGAGCUGAUAUAAAACUGCUUUGUUGGUUUGAUUGGUUGAUUUGUGUGGUUAAUGAUGAGAGAAUGUUUGAAUCAUAUAUAAAAUGGGUUCAUAGUUGAACUGGUUCUGAUACGGAUUGACUGCUUUAUAACGUGUAAAAAUAUUGGUUUAUUUUAAUUUAGAAUGAUUAAACAAGGUUGUGAUACUUAUUAUAACUAUAUAUAGCCAGUAGCUUGGGAAUUUUGUGAUGAUGAUCUUAGUUGUUGAAUUUUGGAUUAUCAUAAUAAUAAACAAGGAUGAUGAUUUAAUAUACAUUUUGAUUUCCUGUAUUUUGAUUCAUAUAUAUUUGUCUGUCAUUAUUUAAUUUAUUUAUUUAUUUUAUUAGUUGAUAUAUUAAUUUGUAGUCUAAGUCGUUGGAUCAUGAGGUAACACUGGCAGAGACCUUUAAGUAUACUCAUACUUUGAAGGCAAACAAGGAGAGAUUUGUUGAUGAGUGGUCUGUGGCCUAUUAUAUGAGUUUAAAUUAAUCCUAAUUUUUAACUUUAUUUGGUUUAAUGUCAAUUAUUUAACUAUUAUCCUAAUUAUAACUAACGUGUGUGACGCAGGAGGAGUACACGUAGAGGUUGGAGGCCGCGACCUAGCAAUAUCAGUCGCUUAGUAGGGACGAAAAAGCCAGAUCCGAGACCUCAUCAGUGGUAGAUCCUGAUAGGAUUUGGCGCGAGACCGCCUCUGAACCUCACAGGAAUCGUCGCUUCAGGUUGGGGUCAUUCUUUGCUAGUGGCCUCUGCUCCUAUGUGUUGGCAGCUUCCUCUGCCUCUGUCUCUGCCACCAGCCCAGCUGAUCCCCAGAAAGUUAUCGACUUAAGGAAGGAGGUGCAGAAGCUAACACAGGAGUUUCACCAGCAAGGGAGCAGUUUGGGCAGAGGUAUCGAGACCUUCUUGAAUGCGUUGCGUCAGCUUGGACCUGAUAGAGAAGCUGGAGCAGCUCGAUCGGUUAUGACAACAGAUGGAGGAGUACAACCAGAAGAUGUGUGCUGGAUUCAGCGGAACUGCUGGUUCCAGCGGCAAUGCUGCUGGUGGGGCACCGAUGGCAGCACCUACUCUGCCUCCUCAGCAGCAGGACCACGACGCCGCCGACGAUGACAAUGACGAAGAUUACCGGGACUUGUAGGAGUUAGAAUUUUAUGCAUUUUGUUUGCCUACUUCAUUGUAUUCUAUAUCUGUGACAUUUUAUUGUAUUCAGACCAUUUAUUUUUUAAUGAAAUAAAAUUUUUAUGCUAACUUUAAAUUUUUUUCAACAGUUUUGUUAACAAGAGUCUACUAAUUGUGGCUUAACUGUGCCAAAAAAAUUACCGUCGGAUUUACUGUCAGUUAAAUCUGACGGUAACUUGGCGUCUUAACACGUGAAAUGGCGCAAAAGUUAUCGUCGGAUAUAUCCGACAGUAACUAUCAACACAAUCUCGCCAAAUCUAUUGAAAAAGUUGAUGAAAAAUCUGCUGGUAAUUAGCUUCGGACAAAAAAAAUCCAGCAGUAAGCAGUUUCCAGCGACGUUUAUACCGUCAACUCAAGAACAACGGUAAAUCCGGCGGUAAUUUUUUUACUGGCGGAUUUAUUUAAUGAAUCCGACGGUACUCAGUGCAUUUCUUGUAGUGAUCUUUUAUAAUAAAGAGUAAAGUACUGUUUUGGUCUCUAACAUUUGGGAUGAAUCCUAUUUUGGUCUUUAACAUUUAAUCGUCCUAUUUUUAUUCUAAAACGUUUAAAAUGGCAUCAGUGUUAUCCCACCAUCAAUUUUCUCACUAACAAUUAAUGGAAUUGAUGUACUAUUAAUAAUAUUUUUUUAAAGUUAUAUUUGCUCAACUCUAUUCUCCUACCUUCACCCUCUCAACAAGUCCAAAUUUUGUUGUCUUACUCCCUUCUUUCUCUCUCUUUUACACUAUUAAAUCUCCAAGAGGGGUUUGAGAAAUAAGAAGAAAGGAGUAGGAAAAUGGGAUUUAGGCUUGUGAGAGAGUGAAGGUGGGAGAGGGAUUGAGCAAACGUACCUUUAGCAAAAGCAUUAUUAAGAGUAUAUCAAUUUUGUUAAUAAUACUUAUAAGUAUUAGAGAGGAAUUUAACAGUGGGAUUAUAUUGAUGUCAUUUUAAACGUUUUAGGAUAAAAAUAGGACGAUUAAAACGUUAGGGACCAAAAUAGGAUUCACCCCAAACCAAACGUUAGAAACCAAA
rnacentral:lncRNA from 1 species